GUUCAGCGUGAAUGCGCAUGAUUCUAGUAACAAAAAUUCUGGAAGUUUUCCAAUAUUCACUUUUUUGUUUUUAAAAAUUUCAAGAAAUACGUUCGUUAAAAUAUUUGCUACAUUGCUUAAAAAAAAAAUGCUAGAUAAAUAAAAAAUAAGCUGAGUUAAAACAUGCGAAUUGUUAGAGAAUACAAAUAUCAUUCACCUUUAUCACUUUAUCUUAAGAUUUUAUUUUUUUAGUUUUUAUAGAAAUACAAACAACGAUAGCCAUGACACAACAAUUGAAGUUGCUGUCGAUUGACUAAAAGGUCACAGAUUCACAAGUUUGAGUUGUGAAAUCACGAAGCUGAUAAAGAUUUUAAUGUAAGACACGAAUCUCGAAUUAUUCAUCACAACUAUUUGACAUCCCCAAAGUUGAAAAAUCCUAUCAACAUCAUACAAACUGAUGACAACACAUAAAGGAAUGUCAAAAGGGUGGGGAUAAAAAAUUAAGAGAGUAUUGUGAGUUGUAACAAUAAUAAACAUCACAUAAAAAUAAAUUUAUGCACACAUUAUGUGAAAAAAUAAAUAAAUAUAACAUAUACAGAACUUAAAUAUACACAUAUAAAAGUUAUUUUAAAUAAAUUGUUCGGGGAUGGAGUCUCCACGGGGUGGGGGAUAAAAUUCUAUCCACAUCCCCAAACACCAUUUACAGAUCAAAUUGACAUCGUAUUGUUAGCCAAACAUCAUAAGAGGUAUAAAUAGCUUUAUCAUCUGGUUUCAAUUAAGUUGCAUACCCGAUAAAUAGUAUACAAUGACGUACGCCGUAUCACAGAUUCCUUUAAAAGAUUUAGCAACAUAUGAGCUUGCAUUGGAAUUUCAGGUUGAAUGGAGCCUGCUAAAUCAAGACAGAGAUUGUCAUAGCCUCUAAAAACUUAAUAGUUACAACAGAAUUGCCAAAUAGUGGUAAACACACUAGAAUGUAUGGGAAUGGAAAUUAAGUAUUUUAAUAAAUAAAUAAAUAAAUGGAGAAUUAUGGCACUAUCAUGGUAAUCACCUGCUUCGUGUGGAACUAAAUCUAAAGAAAUUGAAUGUAGAUCUUGUUCCAUCCUAGAAAGCUUAUGCUGAGAUGUCUGCUGGUUUUCAGAGCUUGGUUCAAUUGAAUUUCUCUCCCACUUGAUAAGUUCAUUUAAUAUUGAGUUUGUAUAUUCAUGUAUCUGGACUUCUCCAACCAGAGAUCCGUUUGAAUUUGAAGUAUCCUCUUGCAUACUAUAUAUUCCACAUGGUAACUCUUCCCAGUAACUAAGAGGUUCUACGCCAAUAUGAGAUUCUUUUUCUGCAGCAAAUUAAUAUUAGUGAGUCCAGUGAUAAGUAGAAGGUAAGAGAGGUAGGCUAUACUAUAAAUAAGUGAGUGAGUUAGAUUUGAAUUAUUUGUGAUUAAGAUGGUAAGAGAGGUAGGCUAUACUAUAAAUAAGUAGAAGGGAUUGAGGAAGAGUGUCAAGUGAUUUGAGAAAGUGUUGAGGCCUUAGGAACGGAAUGAGCCACAUUGUUGUUCUGUAAUCAGGGAACUUCCUUAUUUUUUUUAUUUUUUUUAUCUAAGGGAACUUCCUUAUUAUUAUUAUUUUAAUAAGAUACGAUACCAAGUUCCAAUCAACUAGUAGCAGAGCUAUGACAAUACUGCAUUUUGUCCAAAAUUUGACAGAGAGAAAGCUUAUUAGUGGCUAUUCAAUGCAAAAUUUUGAGGCCAAUAAAAUUGUUGAGAUAAGCAGCAGCAAAUAAGGAGGCAUGAAAUCUCCUACAAACAGUCAUACACUUUGUUGUUGUUUCAUAAUGACAUAUCCACCAAUGUUAAAUGAUACUGAGUGCAUACUGCAUAGUUUACCGUACAUUCUGACUAUCACUAAAUGAGAAUAACUAUAGGUUAUUUUUACGAAGUGCCAAUAGGUUCUAUUUAGGUCACUCUAUUUCACAUAAAUUGAACCAUAAGAGCAAGACAACAGCAGUUUUUCUGUUCCAAUCCCAUGUAUUACAUACCAGAGGCUUGUCGAUCUGGAGAAACUGGCGAUACAGAAGAAAGAAGAAAAGUUGAAUCGUCUUUUGUAGGCCAGUGAACAAGAAGGCUCCUCCUUCCAAAUGCAUCUCGGCCAAACCAAAGGGUCCUUGAACUAUCCUGCAAUAAAAGAAUGUGCACUGCCACCUAUGACCCCACAACCACAAGAAUAUACACUGCUUUAAAAUUUGUACAGACAGAAACUUACCACUUUUAGUUACCUGCCAAUAAACGAUAGCCCAUGGUCCCUUAAUUGUAGAAAGAACAUCUGUGACGGAACCUUUCCCACAUUUAACACAGAAACCAGUCAAAAAAGAGCCACAGGAGCAACAAUUUCCGAGCGUCUGCAUGAGAAAUUCGGCAUCAUUGCAAUCAGUAGCAAGUUGAAGUCCUCCAAAAAUCUCACCUAAAGAGCAUGACAAAAAAUUAAAAUUUAAAACAUCUUAUUGCAAACCAUUCACUAAGAGAUAGACAUUCCACGAAUUAAGUUGAAGUCCUCUCUGAACCCUGUUUUUCAUUCAUUCUGACCCUGUUUUUUUUUGUUCACCUCUCUUACUUCACUUUCCUUCACUCUGUUUUUUCACCACACUCUGUUUUUCAUUCUUUUUUCAACUGUGACUGUAAUGGCCUUUUUUUUGAGUUAUUUUAUGAACUUAGUAUUUGGUUGUUAUGAGCUUAUGAAAUAUUAAUUAAUGUUGUGAUUUGUAAGUUAUUUUGUUCAUGUAUUAUAAUUUUUGUAUUCGUGUGUAUAUAUCUAUAUGUGAAGUUACAAUUUUUGCCCUUGAGUAGGAUCUUACAAAUCGUGCCAUGACCCUCGUGCUUAGAUCCUUCACCAGCCUACCGAUCCUGUUUAGAAACUCGAUUAUGAAUACAUUGCUCACGACGAACAUGAUAUCAUGGCAAAAACAAGAGAGGCCCAAUUUAGAUAAACAGCUUAUAGCAUAAUCGCUUAUCAUGAUUAGCGCUUAUCUAGAAAAUUCCGAUACUCUAAAAUUGCAAGUAUCGCGUCAGAUACUGUAUACUACAAUGAUAUGUGUCAGAUACUUCCCGAUACGUAUCAGAGAAGUAUCCAGUGAUUAAAUUUUAUUUUUUUACUAGAAAAAUAUCAGACACAUUUGCGAUACUUCCUAAUAAGUAUCGGAGAAGUAUCUAGUGAUUAAAUUUUAUUUUUUUAAUACAAAAAUAUCAGUCACAUUUCCGAUACGUUGUUUCUUGAUGAUGGGAAUGGAGGAGAGGAGACUAAAACAAUUGAUGUUAACCCUUAAGUAGUGAAUAUUAGAUUAUGAUAUUCUUUUUAUAUAGUAUUGAUGAUGUCUUUUAAGAUAUGUAAUUCACUUGAUUAGAUAAUUUUAGUAAUGUGAAUGUUUAUUUUAUCAUCAAUUUUAGUUUUUUUUUUUAAUGCAUAUUAUCAAUUUUAGUUAAGUUUAUAUAUUUUGCAUUAUAUAUUUAAUUUUAAAUUAAUUUUUUUUUAUUAAAGUAUCUUUGCCUCAUCGUAUCUUAAAUUUUAAAAAUUUCCCAUCGCCGUAUCGUAUCUGUAUCAAGUAUCUGGGCUGCUUGGCCGCUUAUCUAUAAGCUAUUUCUAUAACAAAAGAUAAAUCAAAUUGUUUUCAUAUAAGUUAUAAGCUACUUUCAUAUUCAUAAGCUAUCUUAGAGAAUUUUAUGAAAAUAACCUAAAAACAGCUUUUGAACAAGUGACAAGUUGUUUUCAUAAUUUCUCCCAAACAGUUUCACAAAUGUUUAUGCCAAUACAUAAACUUAAAUAAGUCAAUCCAAAUAAGCCAAAAUAUUCUACAAUCAGACAAAGUAGCAGAAAGUACCGUUAUAAAGAAGAAUGUUUCGAGAAGCAUCCACUAAAGGUUGAACAAGAGGAAGAGUUCCUCUAAGCUGCAAAGUUGCACCAAUGAAACAAAGUUCACCGUUACCAUCAUUGUGUGGAAAAUUAAUUUUCUUUACACCCAAACUAUCAGGACCUCUUCUCCGCAGAGCUUCUUUCAGGUCAUCUAAAGAAAUCACCAACUGCACAAAAUCAUACGAUAAAAAAAGAAUGGUGUUAAUUGUUUUUCGUAACAAGUUGUAAUAAGGUUAGUGAUUUUGAAUUAGAAUUUGGUGGUUACAUUUUCGGAUUGGCGAUUUGGGGAAGCUGAAUCGAAUGGAAGAGAUGAGAUGUUGAUUCGAAUGCCUGAGACUGUCAACGCAAUUCCACACAUUUUUCUUUCUGCUUCUGUUCUGGGGAAUGUGGUUUUUUUUUGUAGGGUUUUUGAUGGUUAACUCAGUUUGGUUCUGCUUGUAUUCAUAUUUUAAUUUUAAUUUAAUUUACAAUUUUAUUGUCUUCCGAACAAGGUUGCUUCCGUAGCAUAGUGGUAGUGCGUUCGCUUCGUAAGCGAAAGGUCGCGAGUUCGAUCCUCGCCGGGAGCUAUAUUGUUUUAGGUUAUGUUUGAAUAUGAAAUGUGUUGUUAAAUUUUAAGCUUAAUUUUUUUUUUUGAAGACAGGCUUAAAUGUUAUGUAGCCCUAUUAUUUUGAUUGAAUUUGGAUUUAACCACCUAUUUUUAAAAAUGUAAUAAUAUAAAUUAAAGUAGCACAAAUAAGUUUAUUUUUAAGACAAAAUAAGUUAUAAAAAUAUAAAAAUUAAAUAAAAACAAAUAUGCCCUCCAUUUCUUGUUAAAUGUCGUUUUUGAAGAAUUUUUUUGUUGUCUCGUGAAUUUAGCUCAGUGGGCAAGGACUCGAACCCCAUCAUUCCACUUAUUCACUUUAAGGGUGAAAUUUCUAGCCUAACUUUCUCGAUAACUCGACUUCACAUUUUUCGUAAAAUUUAAUGGAGAGUGGAAUAGUGUAUAUGCUAAAUUUAUUUUGAAAAAGAAAAUGAGAGUGUAUAUUAAUCUUGUCGUCAUUUGAUUAUCUCUGUGUUUAAUUUUUUUUAGGCUUAAUUGCAGUUUUGAUCCCCUAUUUUCACUAUUUUGCAGAUUUAGUCCCCCUAUUUUAAAAUGUGACAGUUUUGGUCCCCCUAUCAUAAUUUUUAACUAUAAAUUGGCGAUGUGAUAUGUUUUAAACGACGUGACAUAUGAUAUGAUGAUGAGAAAAUAUCAACAUCGAUGAAAUUGCAAGAUAAAUCCUUCAUAAAGUUAAUUUAAAACAUGUUGUAUCACCAUAUUUUAGACCAAAAUUGGUGAAUUUUAAAAUAGGGGAACCAAUUCUGCAAAAUGGUGAAAACACGGGGACAAAAACUGCAAUUAAGCCUAUUUUUUUACGAAUUGGCGAAUUUAUGAAUUGUUUUUGAGUCGAUUGAUUACUAACCAUAACCAUUGAAACUUAAAUAUGAGAUCAUUGUUCAGUCAAUAAGUGUUUUAGACAUAUCGAAUUAUUGUACUGUGAUAAAGAUAAUUAAUGUGCUAUCAAACUUUAUAUGAUUUUGAAUUCGCCUAAGACAUUAGUGUAUUAUUAUGAUAGAAAAAAGUUUUUAUUGGUCUGAACUAUUUUGUUAAUUCAUCGUAACAACAAGAGUAAAAUUAUAAUCUAAGGCUGAUUUUACCAAAUUGUGAAUAGGAAAUGAUUCCAAGAACCUGUUCAUCUAUAAUCUAUUUGAAAAUCACCAAUAUUUACUAANNNNNNNNNNNNNNNNNNNNNNNNNNNUACUUAUAAACCAUCAACUUUUUGAAAAAAAAAAAAAGUAAAAUUGUAAUCUAAGGCUGAUUUUACCAAAUUGUGAAUAGGAAAUGAUUCCAAGAACCUGUUCAUCUAUAAUCUAUUUGAAAAUCACCAAUAUUUACUAAUUUGUUUGAUAACCAAAACUUAUGCCAAGCAUACCUCCUGAUUUACAACCUUGAACACGAUACAAUUGUUUUGUCAAAAUUAAAUAAUUCUUAUGAAUACAAAUUUAUUUAUUAUUUAACGAUAGUAUAGUUUAGUUGACUUACUAAAUUGUCCUUAACCACCCAAUUGAAAAGUUCUAGCUAGUGGGAGACAUGUUUAUAUAUAGGAGAAUGUUAACAUGUACACUAAAAGCACAUGUUAAGGAAGCAAAAAUAGAAAGUAUUAAAUGUUGAAGCAUUAAAUUUUAACUUUUCAAGCAUUAAAUUUUUGUAUCAUUAAAAGUUAAAUUUUUAUAUUAAGGUACCUUAACAUGUGCCCUAUAUGCACAUGUUAACAAUACUCUUAUAUAUAUUGCAAAGAGGAGUGCUAGCAACACACUCUUUAACAAACACACUCUAUUCUAUUGGUUAAAAUUUAUAUGAGUCUCAUAAAAGUUAUAUGGGUCCACAUUUUUUUAUGGAACUCAUGUGAAUUUCAACCAAUAAAAAAAAGUGUGUUGAAGUAUGUUCGUUAAAGAGUGUGUUGCUAACAUUAUUCAUAUUGCAAAAUCACUUUAAUUAAUUAUGCUUUCUAGUGGGAGACAUCUUUCUUUAGAUGGAAAAUAUCACGUUAAUUAAAUUAUCUUUCUUUAAAGUUCAAAUUGAAUUAUACUAGUAGAUUACCAUGGUCCCCUCAUCUUUAAAUCUUGAGAGUUUAAUAAAAAUAUAAUUUAAAUCAUAAAAUAAGAUAUUGAAGGCACUAGUAUCUAAUUGAGAGGGGAAAUCUCAACUUGUGUACUCCACGGAUUUCUCGAUAAAAUUUAGUAAUCACUAGCUGCGGUGAAAAUGUGCGACGAUAGUUAAAGGAACACGUUUGCCGACAGUUAGAAGCAAAUACUGUUUCAAGUUUCAACAGAACACGUAUUCCCCACUCUAUUGUAUUAUUUAUGUCUGAAUCGAUAAGGUAGACCCACAUUAAAAUCUUCAACCACAAUUUUCAUAGAUAUUUUACAUUAUAAAAAUCACCACUAAGAUUAUAAAUAAUUGAAUCGAACAACCCUGUUCAAUCAUCUCAUAACUUAAAAAAAAAACAUCAACAAAAAAACAAUGGCAGCAAGCGGAGAAGAGAAGAAGAUUUCAACAAGUGAGCUUGCAGCAAGUGCAAAGAUUGUAGCAGAAGCAGCACAAUCAGGUUUCGGGAAAGAUGUUGACAAAGACAAGACAGCAGAGGCUGCAGGUGAUCUUCUAGAUGCAGUUGGUCAGUAUGCUAAAUUGGAUGAUCAGAAGGGAUUAGGACAGUAUGUUGAUAAGGCUGCUGAUUAUCUGCAUAAAUAUGAGGGUGAUACUCCACCAGCUUCCAAACCAGAUAAGCCCAAAGUUGAUGCUGCUGCUGCUAAGUCUGAAGAUGGAGGGUCAGGUGGUGGACUAGGUGGAGAUUUUGCCAAGGUUGCUGGAGGUUUCUUUAAAUGAAAAUUAUUAACUGAUUUGGAUUUAGCUUGUUAAUUGUGUCUUGAUUAUUAUCACUUUAUGUAUUGUUUUUAUCUUAUCUUAUAAUGAAUAUAGGAUAGGAUAGGAUAUGUAUGAUGUAGUAUUGUGUUGUGUGAUGAUGGAUAUGUAUUGCACCGUAGCAGAGUUGUGUUGUCCACUUUUGAACCAAGAGAUCUCAUGCCCCUGUUUGUUCAUGUUUUUAUUCCCAAUUCAGAUGCUAUAUACAUGUUGUGAAUUUUAUGUAGAAAUCAUCACAAGAUAGAAUUAUUGUUAAUGAUUGAACAAAGAUUGAGGUAAGAAUUAAGAUCAAAACAAGAAUUUGGGUAUUUCAGCUUUGAGUAAGAAACUCUUGAGCUUUCAUCCACUUUUAUUUCAGCUUUAUGUAAGAAAUUCUUAAGCUUUUAUUUAGUAGGAAUAUCGCACUAUAUGCAGGAAUCUGGGACACUCUACUUAUUCAUCUUUAAGGUGGAUUUUCUAGCCACUAGACUACUUGACAAAAAAAUAGUAAUUGACAUUAUAAUUAACUCUCUCAACUAGAAAAUAGUUAGUUAUAAACUAACUAACUAACUAACUAAAAUUAAGUUAAUAAUUGAAGUUCAAUAUGCCACAAAUAUCCACACUAGUACAAAAACAUAGAGUUACGAUAGAAAUUACACAACUUCCAUCAAAGGACUCCUUGUAACUCCAAGGCAAAGUGGACAACUCGUACCUACCCAUGGCAAGUAGCCACAAAAACUAAUAGAAAUAGUAAACUAAACUAAGAAGAAGAGAAAAUGAACAAAGAAACUUUAUUUAUAAUUGUAAACUAUUUGCAAGAGUGGAACUUAAUACUACAAGAGAGUUGAUAUCCUAUCCUAUUUAUAGUCUAAAGGACUUAAAUUUUAUACUCCUUAUCCUUAAUGGCUAUUGGAGUUUCAUUACAUAUAAUGAGUAUUAAAAAGAAAAAUAAAAGGUCAAAAACUGAUUUUUCACUUUAAAUAUGGAGGGAAGUUAACUAAAGUGGUUAUACAAUCUAUCAAUAUUUCACAAAUAUUUUACAUAAGAAUAUAACAUGAUUAUAUUAACACAAGUGGUUACAAAAUAAUAAUACUACAUCCGGUCCUAUAUAUAAGAAGAUGUUGACUUUUUAAAUACAUUGUAGAAUUGAUGUAUUUAGACUAUAAUAACGUAUCUAGACAAUAUUAUAGUCUAGAUAUAUCAAUUAUACAAUGUAUUUAAAAAGUCAAUAUUUUAUAUAUAAGACCAGAGAGAGUAUGAAACUUAAUAUUCAUCAAUGAUAUAUUUUUAUCAAGAUUUCAGUUUCAUAAUUAACUACGUAUUCUCCAUUUAGAAUUAUGAAAAUUAUUACAUUUUUACUUAAUAGUUUUAUAAAACAAAAUCCCUUUAUCACAAAUAAAACUCCCAAAAUAAUUUUUAUAAUCAAAGUAACCUUCACAAAAAUAUUUGAUGAUUAUAUAAAAUAAAUGAAAUUAUUUGUUUACUUAUUUUCAUUAUUUUCUUUUCCUUUCAGUUUCUUUCUAAUCCAAACAAAAUACUAGUAUUUAGUUAAACCACUAUGAUUGUUCCAGUGGUAAGUGAUUUAUGUAGUAUACAUGAGAUUCUAAGUUCAAUGUCAUGGACAACAUCGUAAAUAAAAAAAAAAGUUUAGUUGUAUUUUUAAUUUUGAGAUAAUCUAUUACCAAAAUGAGAAAAUUAAAAGAGUGGUAGUGAACACUGUUUGCUGCCGACAUAAGAAGCAAAAAGUGUUUCAAAGGAUACGUAUAAGAUACGUAUUCCCUAGGACUGUAUAUUAUUCGUGUCUGAAACGAUAGGGUAGAGGUAGACCCACAUUAACCUUCAACCACAAUUUCCAUAGAUAUUUUUCCUUUGCCUAAAAUCAAACCUCACCUUCAGAUUAUUAUAUAUAAGUCUAACACUUGCAGAACCUAUUGUUAUUCAUUACUUAAAAAAACACAGCAAAGAAAUUACAAUGGCAGGUAGCGGAGAAAAGUUUAGGGCAAAGGUGGCAACAGAGUCAGCACAGAAAAGUUUAGGGCAACAAGGUGAGAAGGUGACAACUGCUGCAGGGGAAGUUAAGNNNNNCUGCUGAUCAUGUUCAUUCCAAACCAGAGGAGCCCCCCAAAGCAAAAGAAGAAGAAGGUGUGAUUGGUAGUAUCAAAAAGACUGUUGGAGACUUAUUUAAAUAAACAACAUUUAUCACUCAUCAUCAUUUAAUUAGGAUAUCUUAAGGUGAUUAAUUAAUAAUUAAGGACACUAAAUUUGCCACCAUCCCUUUUAAGAUUGUUGUGUAUGUUGUUAACUCAUCCCUUAAAGCAGUACUAAGUUACCACUGUCUGAUAAUGGAUCGAAUAUGUAAGGUAAGGUUCCACUUUUCAGUUUGAACCAACAUCCAGCCCUGUUUGUUUCUGGUUUUAUUCCUAAUUCUAUUGCAUAUAUUUUAUUGGAAAAUGUUUCUUUGACACUAUAUCCAUUCAAAAUUUAAGAGAUAAAAAACCAAUAGAGAUACUAAUAUGGUGUUGAUGUCAUCAAGGUUUUUUAAAUUGCAGUCUGCAUCCGCAAUUGCAGAUGUAGUAUUGCUAAUACAGUAGCCUCGUAAUUUUAAUUCACGUUUACGGCCGUAACGUAACUGAAUCAAACGAUUUCGUUCAUGUUUGUUCGAAUUUUCUCACCGAAAAACAAAAUUUAUGAACCUCAAAUACUAAUCUGCAACAAAUCUAAUAAAAAAUUUACUUUUAACAAUCUCUUAACCGUAUAUUUUAAGUAUAUUCGAAUCAAUGUUAUGGAAUAAACUAAGACUCUAUAAUUGUGGAUAAAUAGUAUAGUGACAUAGUGGUCUUAUUUUAUAUAAUACGUGAAAUUUCAAAAUUAUUACACGCCGGAACAAUCGCAUCGUGUGUUGCAGCAACCACAAUGAAAAACCAUGGAUGUGAUAGGAAGAGAUAUUGAGAAAAUUANNNNNAAAUCAUGUCCUUGGCCAAGGAAUUUGAAGACUGAUUCUUAACAUCCUUGAGGAAAAUCUUUCACUGCCAUAUUGAUCUUGCAAGUAGAAAGAAAGAAGACUGCUAGCAAAAGAAUAAAAGUGGAACAAAGAAGCAAAUUAAAGUUAUUGUUAAGAAGAUGUAAGUGAUUGUUAGGCGUUAGGACCCAAUAGGAGGUGCUCAAGAAAUUAUAGGGUGUCUAAGUAAUAGAUAUUAUAUUAGUAAUAUAUGAUAAAUAUUAUUCAAUAAUUUUUUUGUCAAGUAAUUUAGUAAUUAAAAAUUCAGCUUUAAGGUAGAUAAGUAGGGUGUCUAAGAUAACUCAGCAUAGACAUAUAUAAUGUAAAUUCCUAUUAAUUCAAUAGUAUCUCUUUAAUUAUUGGAAUAUUUUAUUAGUAGGAUAUAAUAAAGAUAUUAUCUUAUUCUAUUUGUUUGGUAGUGUAUUAGAAUAAUAUCUUCUUAGCAAAGAUAUUAUUUAAUUUUAUUUUCUUAGUAGUCAUUAAAAAUAUGGUUUAGGGUCUGAGAGGUAGGAAUGAGAAUAGUUUUUAUUUUAGGGAUAUAGUAAGAUUCCUCUCUGAGUUGUGUUAGAGUUUUGCUUUGGAGUAGUUAUAGAAAGUAUAACUAGUAACUACUAUUACAAUUAUAUUAUGAAUAAAAUACUGUUCUAUAGGCUUGAACUUCAUUUAUGUAAUCAACUUACUUACAAGCAAUUUGUAACACAAAACUUUGUAAUUCAAAGUAUCAAACGGUGUUCGAAUACUUAAGGGACUAAGGUUAUUCAGCUGUCUUGAGAAGUUGAUUAGUGACCGCUGUUAUUGAGUUGUAAUCAAGAUUAUUAAUUAGUGGAUUAAGCCCUUGGUGAUAAGGGAAACUCACUCUCAUGAGUGGAUUGGAGUAGUUUCGGGAAACCAAUAUUAAAAUCCCUCUUUCUUUUGUUGUUCUUGUUUAUUCUGGUCUUUAUAGUCGUAAAAAGUCUUUUAAACUAGAAACUCAAUUCAAACUGCCUCUUUUUUUAUUUGGCGUUCCUUGUACUUUUUUCUUCUUCUUACUAUUAAUAUUAUUACGAGCAACCCACUUGGGAUUGGUCGAGUGGUGUUGGCUUGAGCCAUUGAAGUGUGACAUUAAUUUUUCGCCAUUUAUCAUUUUCAAUCUAAUACUGUAAUUUACAUCUGUAAAUCCUUCAUUCGCAUAAGUCUCAUAUAACACUUCAUUUUUCUUUAAAAAAUUGAAACACCUCCAACAAUAAAUUGAUAAAAUUAACAAAUAUGUUAUAUUCUUUAAACUUAUGAUUAUAUAAGAAACAAAUUAUAAAGGGUACAAUAGGCCUCACCUUAUAAGUUUACUUUUUGAUUUCUUGAUUGAAUUGAAAGAGGAGAAUCUAUUUGUAUAUCCAACAGAUUUACAGUGGUAAAAACUUUAUUGUUAUAUCAUAGUAACUAAAAAAAAAAAAAAUAAUAAAAACAGUUGUUUUUUAAAGGAAUAGUGGUUUGCCGACAUCAAAAAUUAAACAGUGAUUCAAAGGACACGUAUUCCCUAUUGUAUUAUUUAUUUAUUUAUAAUAUGAGGUCGAUAAGUAGAUCCACAUUAAAAUCUUGAACCACAAUUUCCAUAGAUAUUUUAUCUUGCAACUCCCUCGUAUUAUAUAAAUAACAGAACAACCCUAUUGAAGUCUUACAAAAAAAAGAAGCUAUCAUCAUUCAUUGGUUAAAAACAAUUAACAAAGAAACAAUGGCAUCAACUGGACCUAAUGAUUUUUUAGCCAGUGCAAAGGGGGCAGCAGCAUCAGCACAGACAACUUUGGGGCAACAAGGUGAAAAGGUAGGAGCUGCUGCAGCUGGUGUUCAGAAGACUGUUGGAGAGUAUGUUACCAAGGCUACUGAUUAUGUUCAGGGCAAACCAGAGGAGCCUCCUAAAUCCGAAGAAGGUGUCAUUGGUGGUGCUAAAAAGACUGUUGGAGGCUUAUUCAAAUGAAAUAAAUACUCUCACUCAUUUAGCAUCUUGUGAUUAAUUAAUUCAUUAAUAAGGACAUUAAACUUGCCAUAUCCCUUUAAGUAUUCAUUGUUCUGUUGUGUAUCUUAUCAUAUAGUAUAGUAAUUUCCUAUAGGAUAGGAUAUAUGCAAUCUGUUAGCACUGUGUUGUAAUGGAUCGACUAUGUUAUGUAAGUAAGGUAACAGAGUUCUGCUCUCCACUUUACUGAUCCUUCCCCUGUUUGUUUCUGUUUUGCUUAAUUCUGUUUCAUAUAUUAUUAUUCAAUUUUGUUUCCUUUUGUUCUCUUCUGGUUAGUGUGCUCUUUCAACAUGUUUUAAUUAAAUUUACAAAUUACUGGAGAGAAAUAUAACAAGUCCUCAAAUCCUAAGUGGAUGGAUGGAGUUAUGGACAAAAAUUUCAAAAUUAUUAGGUCGGAUAUCAUUAUUCUCCACUUUUUACAUGUGAGUUUUUAUUGAUUUGUCAUUUUGUUUAUCAAUAGUAAGAAAGAAAAAAAUAACAUAUAAUAAAAAAAAUGGAUUAAAUAUAUUUUUAGUGUUUACAAAUAGGGGUGUGCAAAUAAAUUGGUUCCUGUGAACCAAAUUAGUAACCAAAUAAUACCAGUUUUUAAAAGCCCAGUUUAAAGAUGGAAAAAAAAAACCAAUAACCAAAUUUGUAACUAAAAAAAAUGGAAACCAAACUUAAUUAUAUGGAUCAGGGGUAUCCACAAUUUCCACACCUCCCUAAAUCAAUUUUCACCAACUUUAAUAAUUUGAAUAAUAAAUAAAUUUAUUUAAUAAAUAUAUAAAAUAGGUGGUGGUGCUGGCCCGUCAACGGUCUGGUGAACGCCGGAGCUCCGGCGCCGACANNNNNNNNNNNNNNNNNNNNNNNNNNNNNNNNNNNNNNNNNNNNNNNNCGGUGGUGGCCGGCGGAGCUCCGACAGUCGGCCACCCCCUCCCACCCCUAUUUUUAUUUAAUUUAAUAAUAAAUAUAAUAUAUAUAUAUAUAUAUAUAUAUUUAAACUAUUAUUUACGUACCAAAAAAAAACUAGUAUUAUUUAAUUAUUUUAAUAAAAUCUGUUUUUUUUCCUACCCAGAAAAAUAAAUAAAAUCUGUUUUUUUUUUUUGAAAAAUAUGUAUUUUAAUUUUGUUUUAUAAAAAAUCUGAUUUUUUUAUAUAAAUAAAAUCAGUAUUUUAUUUCAAUUUUUUUUUAAAAAAUUACUCAUAUUUUAAAUAAUAAAAAAUGGUUUUAAAAUAAUUUAAAAGAAAAUUAUUUACAAAAAUAAUAGUAAUAAGUAGUAACUUUAUGUAAAGAAAAUAAAUUUUAUUAUCAUAAAAAAAUUCAUUUAUAUGGUUUAAAAUAAUUAUAAUCAUAUUUUAUUUAUUAUAUAUCAUUGUAUCCAUUUUAGAAUAAAUUUAAUUCAUUAAAAUUUACAAAAAUAAAUAUGUGACCCUUUGAAUUUUAUAAAAUAGUCCUUAGUUGAUUAGAUUGGAUUCAUCCAUUAUUAUCUAUUUUAUAAAAAAUUUGGAUAGAUUUUAUAAUUGGUUUUAGAACCAGUUUUAAUAAUAACCGAUUUUUAUUAUAAACUAAUUUCUGAACCAGUUUGAACUGAACCAGUUUUUUUGGUUUUAGAUGAAAGUGGUUUGGUUCAGUUCAUAAACCACAAAUUUUGUUCUAAUCUGGUUCGGUUCAUAACCAUCCCCUACUUACAAAAUCACAUUUGCAUUUUAUAGAGUCUAGUUUGAAGACUAAAAAAAUUCAUUUUCUUUUUUUUUUAAAAAAAAAAUAGCGACUAUUCUUACAAACUACAAUAUUAUGAAGGAUUAAAAUUUAAUAGGGACUUCCUUGAGUAAUAGGUCCAGAAUAAAUUUUAGAUUUAGCAGUGUUAAUAACUUGGCCAGAUUGAAAGACAUAGUUGGUGAAUAAUUCUUUGAGAGAUGUGAUCCUAGCUAACUUGCCUUUGCAGAAAAUCAUUAAGUCAUCAACAUAAAAGGUAUGGGAAGGAACAUUGAUGUUUCUUGUGCCCUUGAUAAGAUCCAACUUACGCUCAGUUACAAGUUUUGCAAUACUUCUACUCAAUGCAUCUUCAGCUAAGCAGAAAAGAAUUAAAAUAGCCCUCAGAUUUUCCAUUAAUAGAGAUAGACAAAAAUGCAAAUUUAAGAAUAACAUGGAUCCAAUUGCAAAAAACUUCAUUGAAACCAAAGCUGCUAAGAACCUUUAGCAAGAAAGACCAUUCUAAAGUGUCAAAAAGGCUUUAGAAAUGUGAAUUUUUAAAGCCAAGUUACCACCAAAGGGCUAAUUGUGUAGUAAAUUGACAGCUUAUGAGGCAAUACAUAAACAAUCCUUAAUAUUUCUGUGAUGAAUAGAUCCCAUUUAUUCCUCAAAAAUGAUGGAGGGCAUAAUCUUAGCUAACCAAUCAACAAUGAUUUUAGAUAACACUUUGAAUUUAAAGUUUGCCAUAGUUAUUGCUCUACAUAGAUCAAUUGAUGUAGCAUUUGAAAUCUUUGGAAGGAAAGCAAUGAUAUUUGAGUUAAAACCUAGCAAGAUCAAACUAGUGCUGAAGAAUUCCAAAACAGCAUUGACAACAUCUUGCCUGACAAUGUCCCAAUAGUGUUGAAAAAAGAAGGCUCCAAAACCUUCUGGCCUGGUGCAGUAUCUUUGUUAAGGGCAAAAACUGCAGCUUUGAUUUUUUGGUGAGAGGGCAACAAUGUAAUCAGAGCAUUGAUGUAAUCAGUGAUGAGCUUUGGGGUAACUUCAUCCGCAAGCAAUGGUUCCUGCAAAACAAUGUUAGUGCAAAAAAAAAAUUUGUAAAAGUUUACCACAUGAUGAGAUAUUUGGCUUUGGUUAAUGAGAACUUGUUCACCAUCUUGUAAGGAUGUAAUCAUUUUGGUUGAGGAUUUGAUUUUGGCUAUUAUGUGAAAAUAUUUGGUGUUCCUAUCUCGUUCUAAAUGCUAGUUCAAGUUAGCCUUUUUCUUUCCAAAAUAGUUCUUGUCUGUUCAGGGCAUUCUCAUAAUCAACAUGUGCAAGCUUCUCCUCUUCUAAUAAAGUCGCAGUUUGACCAUUAAUUUGGAUUUGGUGUUGGAUUAGUUGAUGUUUUUCUCAGCAGAAUUCACAUAAUCAUGUACAUUACCAAAUCAUUGUUUGUCCCAGCUCUUUAAAGACUCUUUCACAAGCUUCAACUUUUUGCUCAAAAUUGAUUGCAUACAACUCUAUCUAGUCUUAUCUCAGUGUGUUACCAUUGUCCCAAGUGAAUUCAGCUCCUGAGGUGGGUAAAUGAAUAAGGUUGAAAGCAUCAGUCCAGUUUUGGAAUCUACCAAAGGUAAUCUAGCAGGAGAGGUGCUACCUCUAUGUUCAUGCUACAUCCUGAUGGUGUUAAAGUCACCUAUAACAUCCCGAAUUUUGAUCCAGAAUAUUAUCUAAACUUUUGCUAUUGUUAUUUUUUUAUAUAAGAGGCUAGAAAUUCUAUUUAUCUUUUUAAUUCUAAUAAAAACUUGCGCAAGUGUAUAAAAGUAAAAUUGAAAGAUAAGGCUCAGUUUUUUGACAAUUUAUUGAGAUGCCAAAGAAAAGUUACAACACUGACUAUAGGAAUCCUGCAAAAUCUGUCGAACAUAUUAUAGAGUCUAUCAUUUGGGACCAACCUUUUGAAACCCAUCUAAACGGAACCCAUACGAUAUCGUCUAGGACGCACCAUAUUAAUCUGCAUCAGAUGGAAACACCAGCUUAGGAGACUUCUUGUCGCGGAGGCUUCUCAUGUAAGUUUUUGAUUCCGAACAUCAUAGUUCCCAUAUUCCUACUACAGAUAAUACCCUCCUUGCAACUCCAUUGGGACCGCUAGAUUCAUCUUAACUUAACGGCUCCCCUAUCUCUUUGCCGGUUGUUGCCAGUUGUCCCUGACGGUUAUAACCGUCUCUCUCCAUAUAAGAAUAAGACUUUAGUGCUAAGGUACACAAUUCAAUCACUUUUCACUUCACUUCUCCUUGAUCAUAUACUGACUUGAGCGUGGAGUGCUAACUUGUUUUGUAGGUACCUUUCCCCAUCGCAAAUCACCGUUCCUAAGGCCUAACGCCAUCGUAACCGCCUCGAGCUUCACCAUCGGAAUUAUCUACUUGUCUUCCAUUCAGAGCAUAGUAAAUCCCCAAGUUUAAUACGCAAAAGCAAAAAUAUAGAAUCAAAGAAAAUCAAAAUUAAGAAAAAUUAACAGAAUUAACUUUGUCAUAUGAUUAUUUUAUAAUUUCCACAUUUUGAGACUGAUGGAGUCUUAGAAAAUAAGAUAACCAACUGCAUUUUGUAUACUUGAACUAUACAUGUUCAUACUCAAACCAAAUAGUAUUAUGUACAUAUGUAUAUACAUUGGUGUUGUUCUAUCUUAGAAGCAGGAACAUGCCCCUGGAAGCUUGCCUGUUGUUCUAAUUGUGUUUGCCUUCUCUUUUGCUUUCAGCGUUUCAUUCUUUCUUCUAUCAUCUGAUUGUGCUCUUGCUCCAGCUGCAAUCUCAUCUAUAUAUUUUAUCUUAUCUUGAUAUUUCCUCCUAGCUUUCUCUCUUUUCCGCUCAUUUUCACUAUGCUGCAUUUUUCACAAAGUUACCACACUUUAUUAGAGGACUAAUAAGAAUAUGUUUCGAUUAGUUUAUUUGAAAUCAGGUUAACUUUAUUUUAUAUUUGUUAUAGGAAUAACUUAUGAAUAAAUAGUUAUUUGAUAAGCACAUAAUUAAGCUGAUUAUGCUAACUAACAUAGGCUAAUAUUUUAUUUUUAUCAAGUAGUCUAGAGGUCAGACUCGCACAUUUGAAAUGUGAAGAUAUAGAAAAUUCCGGGUUCCAACCCAGAUAGCCAACAACUGAGCUAUGGCCUAAAUAUGAAACACUACACAUCUUCGAUCUAAACAUUAAAACAUUCAAUAUGGUUCUAUUGAAUAGAAAAUGAAAGUCUUACCUCAUGCUUAUUAAGCUUGCGUCUUGCUUUCAUCUUCUUCCUCUUUUCCCAUGAAUCUAUUGUCUCUAACAACUUCUCAUACCUGAAAAAAUAAUUAUAUUUUCAUUGCAUUCAAUGCAUGAAACCAGAGAUUCACAACAUUCAUAUAUACUGUUAAUGAAAUAUAUAAUUAGUUGCCAUGCAUAUGUACCAACCUUUCUUUGAUCUUUAUGAGCUCUUCCCUUUCCCAAGAAUCUGCUUUUGUUUCUGUUGUACUUGGUCUAGUUGGUGGUCUGCUGUGGAUGAUUGAUAGUUGUGGUGCCGGUGGAGGUGGUGGAGGCGGCGGCGGCCUUAAUGACACGUUUGGAUCAUCAACUAGUGGAAGCAUUUUUGGUUUUGGAGUCUCAGGUUGUGUAUCAUCAUCAGCGUCGAAAAAAUGUUCAUCGGCAAAAGUUGGAGUCUUUUUAUGUUUUGGAAUAUCAGGUUUUUUAUCAUCAGUUCUCUUUGAUUUUUCACUAAAAGUUGGAGUCUUUUUCAUUGAUGGUGCUGGUGUGAAUGAGAUGGUGUUUUUAGGAAUCUUUUCUUCUCUAAUAGGUGAUGUUGUUGGAAAAUUGUUACCUUGUUCAUCUGUGAUUUUAAAUGAGCCUACACAUGAUGCAGAUUCAGUUCAUCAUAAUUUAAUUUUGUUAUUUUUCUCAUCAUGGUAUGAAUAAAUGAUAAAUAAUGACCACGAGCGGAGAUGAUUCAGGUCUCUUUGGGUUCAAAUUCAUCAGAGAGAGCUUUGUCACACAUUGUGGUUUAUCAGGUUCGAUGGAUUAGUCUUUACAGUUACGCAUAAUGGAUAUCUUUUUUUAAAUAAAGAAGAAAGAAAAAGAGAAAUAAUGUAUUUGCCUGGUAAUCUCUUGGAUGCAGCACCUAGCUGGGAAAAUGAAGAAUUUUUAUCAUAGACUUUUUUGCUUCUGCUCUUGGUCAAUGAGGUCUCAGGAAACUCACUCAUUUUCUUCUCAUGUGAAGUUUCUGAGACAUGUGAACUUAUUGCAAAUGCUGCAGCAGCUACAACUGUGGCAUGUUCCAUUUCUAUGUAAUCAUAAUCAUGACUCAUUUUCCUUGAAAUUUGUCUCUGAAACCAAUUAUGUGCCUUUUUCUUCUCUGUAAAAAUUUGGUCACAUGAAGGUGUUUGUCAGCUAAAUUAUUGCUUUAUUCAGUUUUCAGACAAAAACAAAACUAGAAAGACUAUUAAUGAUCUCAUCUUUGAGAAUCCAUUCAUUUUUAUAUUUAGUAUUUCAAUCUUAUUUUUCAAAUGUGUUUGGUCAAACAGAACAUUUUUUUAUCUUGUUUUGUCAAGUUUUGGGGGAAGUAACAUGUAAAAAAGUCAUUCAGUUUUUUCUUGCUUUUGACCCUAGACUUUGUUAAAGACAAUAACAUAUCAUAAAUACUCACCUUUGAAGGAUGAAGUUUUCUGUAUUGGUAUUUUCUGAUGAUCUCUGCUACCACCAAAAUCAGCUUUAUUCUCUUCUUCUGCACCAAUUAAUUUCUCUCUAACAAAAAUUUGUUUAGCAAUAAAAAAACAUAUUUGCAUAAAUAAAAAAAAAUAUUAUGAAGCUAUAAUUAUUAUUAUUUUUUUUUUGUUUUAUUUUCACCACCGGUAUCCGGCCUACUAGACCGCCUAAUCCGGUUCGGGGGUCAGUUAAGACAAUAAGUGGUUUUAGCCCCCUCCCGAUCGUAUUUGCAGGGGAUUGAACCAUGAUUCUCCCUACGAUGUCCAGCGUCAACUGGACCGACUAACGACGAGUAUUUAUGAAGCUAUUAUUGUUGUAUGGAUAUGAAUACCAAAUUAAAUGAGUGGUAAUUAUUUAUAAUAAAUGAUACAUAUACAUGACCAUCUUAAAUCUCUCCAGGGGUGAAAAGUAAAAAUGACUAACCUUAUUUGCUUAAUCCAAUUAUCCAUUCUAUACAGGAAGAAUUUUGUGCUUUAAUUAUUUAUGAGCAAUGUCUUGAUAUCCCUUGAUAAGUGGUAUGUGUUUAUAUUUGAAAGAGAAGAAACCAAGGAAAUAAGAUCCUUUUUGUAGAGUAUAGUCAUAGGCUGUUAUUGGGGACAAGCAAGGUUACAUAUACUUUGCAUGUGUUGUCUGGUUUGGAACUCAAGUGCCUUGUGGGGGAAGAUAAGUAUUCUUUUCUUCUUCAGAGAUAAUUACCAUCAGGCAUCAAGCAUAUUUUGAAUAUAUUUUCUAAUCCAGUUUUUUCUGAUGAGAAUUUUAAAACAUCAAAUUAAAUCUGCUAGGUAAAAAGGAUGUCAGAUUUUCUCUUAAAUUAGUGCAUCACUUUUAAAACAUUGAUUUACAUUAGCACGUGGAAAUUUCAUAUGGACUAAAUAGGCUGGACACUUUAUAAUUAUAAGCGAGAGGAAUGAUAAAUUUAAUAUACUGUAAUGUGUUUGGAUGUUUGGAUGGAGGAAUGUUUUGAGGUAAAAUAAUGUUUUGAGGGAAUUUAAAUUCUUUUGUCUAAAUACCAUUGUUUGGGUGAUUAAUUUGGAAAUUUGUUUAAAAUAAUGAGAUUCUAUUUUAUGAAUUAUUGUCCAAGGUAAAUUUAAGGAAUUUCAAAUGGCACCGAAAAGUUAGGAAUUUGAAAUUUCAAACUGACCCCUAUAAUAUUUUUAAAAUUACAAAUUGACACCUAAUUUUUUCAAAAACUGCAAAUUGAUCCCUAAAAAUUUGCAAAUUGGUCCUUUAAGAUUUUGAAAACUGGUCCUUAUUUUUCAAAUUUAUAACAGUGACCCAAGAUAUUCAAAAUGAAAAUUUCUAUUAUUCUAUCCAAACACACAUUUGAAAAUGAAAGUAAUUCAACUACAAAAAUUUAAAUAGCUUAGAAUUUCAAAUCCUCUAAAAUUUUUAAUUACUUCAUCCAAACACACUCUAAGAUUUUGGUUGAAUGUAUGAUGUCCAAGGUAACCGGCGGGGAGGGGGGGNNNNNNNNNNNNNNNNNNNNNNNNNNNNNNNNNNNNNNNNNNNNNNNNNNNNNNNNNNNNNNNNNNNNNNNNNNNNNNNNNNNNNNNNNNNNNNNNNNNNNNNNNNNNNNNNNNNNNNNNNNNNNNNNNNNNNNNNNNNAUAAAGUGUUUAACCUCAACUCCUCCAACCAAUGUGAGACUUAACUCACACUUGAUAGAUCUCAACAUCUCCCCUCAAGUGUGAGUCUCUCCGCAUCUGCGGUCCUUCACCACUUACUUGUUGCUCCCCGAAACCGGGCUCUAAUACCACUAUUGAGUCACAAGGGGGCAGUUGGGGGAUUAUUCACAUUGGGCUAAAAGCAAUUAUACAAGUGAGUUGAACACCACACUUUUACUCAAAACCUUAAGACAUUAGGUUUAUGGGUCUUCUCACCUAUAAAGUGUUCAACCUAAACUUUUCUAAGCAAUGUGGAAUUUAACUCACCUCACACUCACCACAACACUUUAUCACCACGAGAGAGCGAGAAACCUUCGUGACUUUUUUUAAUAUAAAAUUAUGUGCAAAAAGAAGGAUUGCAAACAUUUUAGGCUCUGUUCUCGAUUAUUAAGGUUUAAUCAAAGUUGAAUCAUUCUAGCAGUAUAUGAGUUUCAUUUUUGGUUGGGUGGAUGAAUGUUUUGGGAUAAAGUAGUUUAUCAUUCUUAUAGAGAAAUUAAUUAUUGUGCAGAUGCGUUAACUACUAUGACUUGAGAUGUAGGUUCUACUUUGAUUUUAUACGAGCAGUGCCCUGCUAAAAUUAGUUGUUUUUAUUUAGCAAACCUUGUUGGUCUUUCGAUUCCGUGACUUGUUAUGCGGUAGUUACUUUUUCUUUUGGGUUUCAACUUCUUCUAUUUACAUUUCCUUGUUUAUAUGAUUAAUUUAAAGAACUUUCAAAUUAAUAGGAAUUUAUUAUUUUUUCCAAAUUAAAUUUAAGCAAUUUUAAAUGACACUUAAAAGUUAGGAAUCUUUCUCUCAUAUGUUUCAAAAUUUUCAAAUUGACACCUAUAAACUUUUUAAAUUGUAAAUUGACCUUAAAAUUUUCAAAAUUGCAAAUUACCCCCUAAUGUUGUUCAAAUCGGUCUUUUAAAUUUUUGAAAAUUAGUCCCUAUUUUUCAAAUUUAAAAUUUGACAAAAAAAUUCAAAUUUUUAAAAAUGGCCCAAAAAAAUCACAAUGAAAUGUUUACUUUAUCGAAAAACACACGCACACACAUUUAAAGGUAAUUUAAUUAAAUUGUUCCGAAUUCUAAAUCCUUUAAAAAAAAUUAUUAAAAAAUAUAUGUAUCAUGAUAACUAGUGUGUCCUCCGGACACUAAUUAAUGAACUAAAAAUAUUUAUAUUUAAGAACAUUACUUUUUACAUUUUUAAGUGUUUGACUUCACAGAUCUUAAAAUAUUUUUAUUAUUUUUGCAUCUUUAACUAGCGUUCCAAGUCCGGGAGCAUUAGUUAGCAUUUUCAAUUUCUUAUUCGAGCAUCCAAACAAGCUCUAAAGAAAAGUAAAAAGUAUUUCGUGAAAAAAAAAAGUAAAAAAAGUAUUUCAUAAAAGUUUGUUAUGUGAUGUUCUACCAUGUGUUGUGCUGUUUUGUCGAGUACUUACUUUUAACCGAUCAAAUGGCCCAAAUAGUUAACCAUCGUGGACAUGAACUUAGCAAAUUGGUAAAAAUUAAGAGGCUAAUAUUUAAAUAGUUAAGAGGCACAAACACAAGUAUACAAAGAUCAUGUUGGUAAAUAGUAAAUAUUGUACUUGACAAAAAUUUGCUUCACAUUGAUAACACCCUUCAAAAAUGUUUACUCAAUAUUCUUGUGACUGAGUAACAACCAUAAAUAGAUAUGUCCUAUGACUUUCAGUGGUUCCACAUUAAUUAAACUCAUGGGAUCCUCCUCCUCAUCCUCAACAACCAUGUUCCUCUUUCACCAUUUCCAUGCUUGUUUUCAGAUUCUGCUAUUCUUUUCUACAAAAUUCUGUAUUCUCACAGUCUGUAGUCCUAAUUUCAAGACAGAGGAAUACCAAAUACAAGCAUGGAAAUGGAAAUUCUAAUUGCCCAUAUUAUUAUACUAAAGGGCAAAAGAAACAUUAUAAUAUUACAUUACAUGAACUCUGAGUUAUUAUACUAAUACUAAUACAAGUUUGGUCAUUACAAAAAAUAAAAAUAUUAAAGAAAGGUAAAAAGAUUGAACAAUAAUAAGCAGCAAAUUAAUCCCUGCAAAAAGAUUGUGUCUUUCUCCAUGCCAAAUUGAAGUGGGUUUGGGGAUUGAUGAUCAGUUGUGAAGUGGGUUUGGACCAGAGGGAACUAGUCUCUUGUCAACACCAUACCUUGGAUCAACUUCAACCCGAUUAUUUUCUUGAGGUGGAAUCGGAACUGAAUGGAUGUUGUUGUGAUAUAUUCUUUGAAGUUUAAAACAUAAAGAACGCACGGUUGUGUUGGAAAAAGAAUUACUACAAUGGUGGAGGUUUGUUGGAGAUGGAAGAAAUCUUGAGUUUGUUGAUGUGGAGAGGAAAAGGAGAAGCAAUAGUACUGUAGUGAUGAGUGAAGAAGGAGAAGUCUUCAUUGGAAUGGAAAAUGGGAAGGUAGAGAGAGAUGUGGGUUGUGAAUAAUAUNNNNNNNNNNNNNNNNAUGAAGGGGACCUCACCUUUACUCUUCACUCAACUCAAUUUUUUUAUAUUUUUUUUACAAACAUAAACUCACUUAAAAAGGGAGGGAGUUUCCGUCUCAAAAUAAUUGUCACAUUUUACCACUGCACAUUUGUCAAUGCACAAUUUUGAUCAUGAAUAUCUUUUGUUGUGUAUUAUUAAAAUAGUGUUAUACCCCCUGCAAAUUUUUUUUUUUUAGAUUCCCCCUGCAAUGUCAAGAUUCCUUGCGUUACCCCCUGGCUCAACAAGUGGGCAUAUGACAUGGACGAAUCUUGAUGUGGCAUGACACGUGAAAAUUAAUUUAUUUUUUAUUUAUUUUUAAUUGCCAACUCAGUAAUUAUUUAUUUUUUAAUUAAAGAAAUUUUUUUUUACGAACCUAGGUAAAAGAAAGUUGUCAUUUUUUUUUGCAGGGGGUAAUGCAAAACUCGCGUAUUUUGCAUGAGGUAACGCAAAACUCGCAAAAAAAAAUUACAACUUUCUUUUACCGUAAAAAAAAGUUUCUUUAAAAAAAAAGUUUUUUUUUUCAAUUUUUUUAAUUAAAAAUUAANNNNNUAAAAAUAAAUAAAAAAAUAAAUAAAUUUCCACGUGUCAUGUCACGUCAAGGUUCGUCCAUGUCAUAUGCCCACUUGUUGAGCCAGGGGGUAACGCAAGGAAUCUUGAUAUUGCAGGGGGUAAUCUCAAAAAAAUAAUUUGCAGGGGUAACGCAAAACUCGUUUAUUUUGCAAGGGGUAAAACACUAUUUUACCCUUUAUUUAUUUAUAUUAUAUGUGAUGUGUGUGUGUGUUGAGCCCACAUGAUCGAACAGAAGAAAGAAAGAAUAAUACCGGUCUGUGGUCCUCUUAUACCCUUCAACCCGGAAAAGAUUUGAAUGAAUAAGCAACACCAACCAUAUAUAGUAGUAAUUGGCAUGAAGGUGAAAAGAAUACAAACUCAUCCACUAUUAGAACUACGUGUUUUUGGUUUGAUCAGAACUACGUGUUAGACACGUACACAUGGUGUUAAUUUGUAUAUGUUUUUGGUACCUUAAAAACAUACAUUUUGACAUGUUUUUCACCCACAUAAAAAUAUACAUUUUGGUCUUAGGUGUCGCACACAUCAUGGGAAAUGCAUUGACCAAAAAAAAAGAAUUUGAUGUUAGAGGGGAUCCUUACUAUGUGCUGUAGCAAAGUUAGUUUGAACCAAAAACCAAAAAUAGCUUAUUUGUAGCUUCAAAAGAAAACCACUUACAUUCAAUCUUUUAAUUACCUCUUUCACCACUAUUAUAGGGAACAAUUAUGGAGUGAUUAGAGUUAAUAUAUCCAUACAAACAUUGAAAGUUGAAUCUUGUGCUCAUAAUCACACGCAUUGUGAAGAGGAACAUAACAAUGAUCAUCAAUUUGAAAUACUAAAAUAUAGUUUAGCAAAUAAAAAUCAACCAUAUGUUCCAUUAUUAACAUAACAUGAAAGUAAAAACAGCUACCUCCUAAUUAGAAAUUAAAGAUAUACUAAAUCCUUCAAGAACAAAAAAGAAAUCAUUUACCCACAUGGCAUUCUGUACAUUGUAAUUUGCUUUCAUCAUAUGGGAUAAUGACAACAAUUAAAAAGUAAUAAUUCUUAAACUUAAAGAUAAUAUUCAUUAAGGUACCUCAAUUGAAGAAGAACUUUCAAAAAAUGAAGUAAAAGUAAAAACCAAGAUAUAACCCAUUUGGCCAUUUCCUUAUUCAUCAACAGGAGCAGGUUGAUUAAGAUCAAUCAAACAAGGAGCAACACUUUGUUUGAUCACAAAAGUGUUGUCUUCAGAUCCUCCAACAAAAUGUGAUCUUUUAUGUCCUCCCAAUGCUUGUCCAGACUUGAAAAUUUUGUAGCAAAUUGGACAUUCAUAUUCUUUGCUUUUCUUUGACUUCAACUUCUUCUUCUUUUUACCCUUGUUGCUUGAUUUCUUUUUAUUCACCAAUUUACUGUUAUGAGAUUUUGCAGCAGAAAAAGAAUCACUUUCUGAACUUUUUUGUUCAUCACUCUCAUCAUCUGUUAUUGAAUCAUAAGAACAAUGUUUGUCCUUUUCACUCCUAAAGAACUCAUAUUUCAAACUUUUUCUAUCACUCUCAUAGAUUUCUUCAUAUUUUGCUUUCUUUCUCGAAUCAAACUUCCUAUCAUGAUCCAAUUCUUCAUAUUUUGCUUUCUUUUUGCAAUUCUCAAAUCUAGACUUAUCUUCUUCUUCUUCCAUCUUUGGCCUCUUGAAUUCGUAUUUUGAAACAUUUGAAUCUACAAUUUUGAUCUUCUUUGAACCAUAUUUGAAAGCUGUCGAAUCCGAAUUAAUUGAAAUACCAAUCCCACCAACAGACUUCAGCUUCUUCUUCUCCUCAACAAAUCCAUGAGCAUUACUAGAAACAAGUUUGUUACCAUUUCUGAUAACAAUCUCGGAUUUGGUCUCUAGAAGAACCGAGUUGUUAUUGGAAGAUUCAGAAACAAAACGACCCUUAUGACUAAAAAAAUCUCUAGACAAUAACAUCAAACACCUAGCAACCUCUUGUUGUUCCUGUUCCAUCUCUGAAACAGAUGAAGAACCAUUAACAGACGAAGAAGAAGGUUGGUUUGAAAGAGUAAGAGACUUGAACCUAAUUCUUCUCUUAUUUUUCCUUAGAUUCAUUGUUGAAGCAGCAACAACACAAGUAUCAUCAUCAUCAUCAUCAGAUUGAGUAUCCUCCUUGAUCUUUUUCUCUUUCUCAGAAUGAGAAGCCAUGUGACCACAAAGAGCUUUCAAUGAUGGAAAACCUUUCCCACAUUCUUUGCAAAAUUUGAUCAUUUCAUGUUCCAAUGCAGUGGUUGCAGCGGCGGCAGAGGCAACAUGAUUAUGAGAAUGCACAAACUUGAUUGUUUUCUUGGGAUUCUCUCUAAGACCAUAAAUGGGGUUUCCAUUUCCACCAUCACUAAGANNNNNNNNNNNNNNNNNNNNNNNNNNNNNNNNNNAACAGGUUCAAAAUCUCUCUUGAUAUCAGCAACAGCAGCAGCAGCAAUAGCAGCAGCAGCAGCAUGAGUUCUUUCUUCAGUCAUGUGGGUUCUGAUGUGACCACCAAGAGAUUUUCCACAUGGAAAUCUCUUUAAGCAAUACUUGCAAACAAACUUCCUCUUCCUCUCCUCCAUGGAUAAUUGAUAAUUCUGAAAUUUGAAUUUGAUCUAGUGUUAUAUAUUUAUAUAAGAAUCAACAACAAACUAUAGAUCACAUACCUGACUGAAAUCUGUAUGAUGAUCAAGUGUAAUAUAUAAUAGGGAAAUUAGAAUGAAGUGGUGGUGGUGGUGGUGGUGAUGAUCAGAAUUGUUGUUGUUGAUGAGAAGAUGUGACAGUUGUAUAAGUACAAGAUCCGACCCAAAAAAAGGGGAGAGACCCCUUCAUUUUCGUUUCCCAAUAGAAUGAUCAAAUAUCAUUAUAAUUUAAUUAAUUUUAUUAAAUGUGCUUUGUGAAAUAAUUAAAAUUAAUAAUGGGUUUGCUUGCCACAACACAAUGGGUCAAGUACUGUAACAUUAAAGAGCUACUACAAAUACAAUACAAGCUUAUGACUCUUUCUUUGUUGGAGGAGAGAAUUCCAUGCAUGAAAUCAACAACUAGUAGAUUAAUUAUAGGAAUUAAUUUUUUUCAAAAAAAAAAAAAAUUAUAGGAAUUAAUUAAUUUUAAUUAAUUAAAAAAAAUGUGAAGUGAGAACCAUUAGAAGAUCAUUUGAACGGCCAAGAUUUGUGUUAGUUUUUAAGAUAUAUAUAUAUAUUAAGCUUUUUUGGAGAGUACUACCAUAUAUGGCACACACAAAAUGAAGCAUCCUAAACAAAAACCAUGAAUAUGACUGUUAUUUUGAGUCGUUAUUUUAGUAUGUUUAUUUGAUGAUUUGAUGGUAUAAAAUGACGAUAUCUUGUUUCCUUAUUCUUAUCGUGUUAUUACACCGCUUUAUUGUGUAAACUAUUUUUACCCUUUUUGUGUUGCGUCUAGACUCUUGUGAGUUUAGAUUUUUAGGUAGAAGAUUAGUUCGCGCGGAUUGGGUAUUGAAGAUGGCAUUAGGCAACUGCCUUCGUUUUAUUUUCAGUCAUCAUUAUAGAGUCGCUCUGAUAGCGUAACACGUUCUUUUCUUUAAAGUUGUUAAGCUAUUUGAAGUUCUUGGAUAAUUUCCGCUGCAUGUUUUUAAAUAAUUUGAUGAUUGGUUUGAGAUGUAGACGUGUGACAUUGACACCGUAAAAUUGACGCCGAAAACGGAGGCGGCACCGAACUUUGUUGAACCGAACCUAACAUUAUGAAAGAAAUGAGAAUAGAAUGUUGCAUAACCCUAUAAGAUUUAGAAGUUUGGUGGUGCGGAGGACCGUUGAAAACACAGUUGCCACUCAUCACCCCAUUUGAAACAAAAAUUACAUGAUGAUGAAGAAAGUGUUUGGAUGUGAAAGGAAGGAAGAAGACACCUACGACGGUCAAUAUACAAAAAUAUACAUUUUGUAGCAAUAACUCGUCUAGUUCAGUUGGUAGAGCGCAAGAUUAUUAACCUUGGGGGUUGAAUAUAUAUGAAGUAAUAUUUUAUUUUUUUGCCAACAAAAUCCUUUAUAGUAAUGUUUAAUUUAUUACAUAAAAUUGAAUGUCAACAAAUUGGGAUUUUAGGUAGCUUAAGAAACAAAAUUUAGAACUAAUAUUCCAAAGAUCUGACAAAACAGAACUAAUGAAAAGAAUUAAUUAUAAGAAUAAGAAAGAAUAGGGGAGGCAUUGUCUCAGCUCAAUAUGAUGUUAUUCCAUUUAUGCCACUGCAGGCAUAUCCUUGAGCCAUGGAUCUAGUGGCUUACCAAUUGAAUAAACUAUAAAUCCAAUUUUCCUGAGCACGCCAACAUCCACAACAUUCCUACCAUCAAAUACAAAUGCUGGCUUCUGCAUACUGUCAUAAACUUUUUGGUAAUCAAGUUUCUUAAAUUCAUCCCACUCAGUCAUAAUGCAAACACCAUGUGCAUCUUUCACCGCCUCAUAAGCAUCCCAAACCACAGACACUUGCUUUAUGGAAGUAGGGCUCGGCGGUUGAAGAUGAGCAGGGUGGUCCUUAUCAAACUUCCUCAUCGACAGAUCCUUUGUGAUCUGAUCUUCGGUAACUUGUGGAUCAUAUAUGCUCAACCUUGCCUUAUCUCCCAAUAAACCCUUGCACACAUCGAUAGCCGGUGUUUCCCUUGUAUCGCCUGUGUCCUUCUUGAAAGCAAAACCAAGAAUAGCAAUCUUCUUAGUUGAAACUGUGUUGAACAUUGACGAAACAACUCGGUUCACAAACCGACUUUUCUGAUAGUCGUUCACCUUAAUCACCUGCUUCCAAUAAUUUGCUACCUCAGGAAGUCCAUUACACUCACAAAUAUAGACCAAGUUUAAUAUAUCCUUCUGAAAGCAAGAGCCACCAAAACCAACACUAGCAUUCAAGAACUUAGGACCAAUCCUCGAGUCUGUUCCGAUUGAGUGUGAUACCUCUGAGACAUCAGCACCUGUUGCUUCACAUAGUGCUGACAUUGCAUUCACAGAAGAGAUUCUCUGUGCCAAAAAGGCAUUAGCAGCAAGCUUAGAGAGUUCAGCAGACCACAAAUUGGUGCAAAUGAUUUUCUCCAUAGGGACCCAAUUAGCAUAAACAUCUCUCAAUGUUUUUAUGGCCUUUUGUCCUGCUGGUGUCUCCCUACCUCCGAUAAGGACUCGAUCUGGGUUGAAAAGGUCUUUAAUUGCCGUACCUAUUAGAGAUAAAGUUUGUUAAGAAGAUAACAAGGAUAACAAACCUAACUAACUCUUAACUAACUAUUUCAGUAUUAGUACCCUCAGCAAGAAAUUCAGGGUUUGACAAAAUAGUGAAAUUGGUGCCUUUCCUAUUAUGAGUCAAAAUCCUCUCAAUUGCUUCAGCAGUUUUAACAGGUACAGUUGAUUUUUCAACCACAAUUUUGUCCGAUUUAGAAACAUCGGCGAUCAUCCGAGCUGCACUCUCCCAGUAAGUUAAAUCAGCUGCUUUGCCAGCUCCAAGACCAUGUGUUUUUGUCGGUGUGUUGACAGAAACAAAGACUAUAUCAGCCUCUGCUACAUGUUUCUCCACUUCAAUGCUGAAGAAAAGGUUUUUUCCCCUGCAUUUCUUCACCACUUCGUCAAGACCUGGCUCGUAGAUUGGUAGGUGGUCGCUGUUCCAACCGUUGAUUCGCUGCGAUGAAAUAUCGACCACGGUUACUUGAAUAUCAGGACACUUUAAGGCAAUCACAGCCAUUGUGGGACCACCAACAUAUCCAGCUCCAAUGCAACAAAUCUUCACCAUUUUUCCUUUUUCUUAACUUCCUUCACUGUGUGACAUGAAGAUCAAAAUAAAUAAAAAAACUCAUACAUAACAACAAGGUAUAUUACUACUUUCAAAUGCUUAUUAUUGGUUAAUUAAGGCCAUAAUUGAAUAACUUAUAGACAUGAAAACACGAAAAAUUCUAAUAUAGACUACUUUAAAAAGUGGUCCGUCGUGGAUUAGUACUUAAGAAAUAUUUAAAAUUCCAACGAUGAUGUACAUCAUUGUUUGAACAUAUAAGUUAAUACUUAAUGGUCAUCCCCAUUUUUACAAUUGAGAUAACAACUUCAUUAAUAUCAGUUCGAUUAAAACAACUGAAAAAAAAUAUGUAACUUGUAUUGAGCUGACGUUAAUCACAUCAUUAUUUUAGUCGUAAAAACGAAGAGUCAUGAAUGUUUACUUUUAAAUAAUAUUGUCAAUCGUCGUCGCUAGAAUAUCUAAUAAUCUUAAGCACCGAUCCACCGUAGCGUUCACCCAUGAAAACAAUAUACAUAAUAAUUUAUCAAGUAACAAUACUUAUGCAGAAUAAAAUGAUUUUUUAAUAGCAGGAUCUGUGUGUAGUUUUCAAUUGGGAAAGCCAUAAAAGAAUAUUAAAUCCAAAGAACAUUCCAANNNNNNNNNNNNNNNNNNNNNNNNNNNNNNNNNNNNNNNNNNNNNNNNNNNNNNNNNNNAUAUAUAUAUAUAUAUAUAUAUAUAUAUAUAUAUAUAUAUAUGAAUUGAGGCAUCGACAGAUAUAAUACUAAUAAAAUAAGGUACAGAAAUGUUACCUAAACACAAUUUUUGAACAUAAGUUGGACAAAUAUACUGAUUUUCAUUUUUUAAUAAUAUAUUAUGCUUACUGAUUUGCGUGCAUAACCUUUUUUAUAUUAUGAUGUCGUAUUUUUAUCAGCAAGAAUGUGUUUAGAUAACAUGCCUCAAUAAGGUAGCAGAUCUAGGACAAAUCAUUUCAUUCACAGAAAUAAUAAAUUAAUACCAACCUAAGUGAAGAUCUUGUGAAGGUAACAAAGAAAAGUGAAGGUAACAAAGAAAAGAGAAAGAUAAAUUACGUUGUGUAAGUAACGGUGGUGAAGAUGAAUGAAGAAGAAGAAGAAUAGAAAGGUCGUUGUACUUUUGUUUCGGUUUCUGGAAUGCAAAGAAAUAGGAAUGAGUCACGAAGUAACAUGCGGAUCUAUUUACUAUAAUAAAAGCCAUAUUUAUACUAANNNNNNNNNNNNNNNNNNNNNNNNNNNNNNNNNNNNNNNNNNNNNNNNNNNNNNNNNUAUUAAAAAUAGUCCUAACAUCUAGCACUAAAAAAAAAGUACUAACACCACAAAAACAUGUAGUAAUUAUAAAGGUUUCUUUGUUGUCUCCAUAAGUUUAGAUCAAUUGGUACAUAAGAAUAUCGUAUUUUAUAUGCAGAGAUUUGAUGAUCGAAUUUUAUAUACUCCAUUUCUUCAUGUCAAAAGAAAGAAAUUUUGCCACCAGACUGCAAUUAUUCAUGUUAAAAUUAUAGGAGAUUCAGUUUUGAUAAAACAUUUAAAAGAAAUUAUAAUUACAAUUAUAAAAAUGCAGUAAAAUAAGAUAUUUUAUGCAAAAUAUAAUAUCUAAUAUAGUAAAUAUAAACACAGCAGCAAAAUAAUAAUAAUAAUAAUAAUAAUAAUAAUAAGGCUUAAUUAGUUUAUUGGUCCCUUAAAGAUAUUUUAGGUUUCACAAUGGUCCCUUAAAGAAAAAAAGAUCCAGAUUGGCCCCUUAAAGAAAAAAAGACCCGGAUUGGUCCCUUAAAGACAUAUAUGUUUGUCAUAUUGGUCCUUUCCGUUAAGUUUUAACUCCAAAUAUAACAAAAAAUUCCAAUGGUUAAAAUUUUAAAAAUUAAUAAGGUUUUUGGUGGACCACUUACGCUUAAUGACAUAUUGACAUCCACAAUUCAGUCAACUAAAACUAACGUUUUUUGUAAAAAAAUUGACGGAAAUGACAUAUUGACAUCCACAAUACAGACCUUUUUUUCUUUAAGGGACCAUUGUGAAACCUAAAAUAUCUUUAAGGGACCAAAAGACUAAUUAAGCCUAAUAAUAAUAAUAAUAAUAAUAAUAAUACCAAUACAAAUUAUGUUUAAAACAUAAAUAUAAAAUAAGGGUAUUCUAACUAGUGUUUUUAAGGAAACAAAAAUGAUAAGUUUUGCGGGGGGGAUGUGUUACUAAACCUACAAAUAAAAACCUUGCCUUAAAAAUUGUACAUUUAAUUUCUUAGAAGUAUAAAAAUUGCUUGUUUCAACAUAAAAAAUUUACUGUAAAUUUCUUAACAUACUCUCUUAAGUUCGGUCAUGAUGUGUUGAAAUAGUCUUGGACAACAAUGAUGUUUUACUAGAAAAUAGCUACCAGUUAGCUACAAUGGAUGUCGUAGCUAAUCCAAAAUUUUCUUGUAAUGUAUAGGGGGCAAAAUCCAAAGAAUUAUAAAAUAGGAGUAAAAUUCCGGAUUUUAAAAUAGGGGGUAAAAUUCCGAUUUAUUCAAAACAUGGGGGGUAAAACUGCAUUUAAGCCAAUAAUUUAUAAGUAUUUGAUUUUGUUAUGUAAUUUUUUAAGAAUAAACUUUUACUAAAAUUACUGUUCUCUAAGUCAAAUAAUAAAUUACAAUACAUUUUAUUUAAUAAAUAAAUGCAUUUUAUUGUGAUAGUGCAUAUAAGACUGUCCCAAAAUAAGCAAUGGGAACAGUUUUUUUGUGGCUACGGCUCAUAACCAUUGUUGUUGUGAAAUUCGAGAACCCUUUAUAAAGGAUACUUAGGAUACAGUCUUACGAAUAUCGUCGCUGUUUUGACAAAAAACGUUGCAAAAGGAAAAGACAAUGUCUCGGUUUGAUAGGCCCAAAAACCGUCCUCUUACCCUAUAGCAGCGGUUUUUUGGAUUAACCAACGGUUUUUCUCGUUGCCAUAGGACAAAAAUGUUGCAGUGAAAAUGCUUGGUAGCCAUAACAAAUAUAAUAUUGUUGUUGAAACUAAUACUACUAACAUUGUUUUUUAUAAAAGAAAAAAGGCAUUAAUGUUCUUGAAACUCAAGAGUUUAUAGCCAAACUCUCAAAACAACCAUAACUAAUAUAUGUGUAACAAUUAGUAGGAGGCAGAGGUGGAUCCGAACGUGGAGGUAGCUGACUUUGAACAAAUUUUUUCCAUAAAUUGAAAUAAUUGCUCCCUAAGCAAACGAGAAUCCUCCUGCAAUUAACGAAUCAACUCCUCGUGAGUCUUAUUUUUUCUUUUAAGAGUUGUGUUUUUAGUUGCAAAAUUAAAAAUUAUAGUCUUCAUGUGUUGAUCUAGACGGCUUGUACUUCUGUGCUUCUAGAGGUGAGAAACAUGGCCUUGAUCCUUUGCAUGACUUCAUACACAUCAAGUAAAAGGGAGGAUAACCGAAAGAAGAGUAAUGAUGCAACAAGUUAGAAAUUUAAAGAACCAAUUUAUUAGUUAAAAAGCUUAAAGAUUUGUAAUUUAAAUAACAUAACUGUUACAAACGUGAAACUUUUUUUUUUUGAACCAUUACAAACAUGAAACUUAAAGAUCCCUAAAUACACUUUUUAUAAGGAUAAAAAAAACAAAAAAAAUUAGACAUAUUCAACCUUCUGAAAAAAAUAUGAGAGAAAAAAUAAAUAAAUUAAAACUAUCAACAUCGAAGACAAAGUCAUUUCUCUAUACGUGGAAGAGUAUUAAACGCAAACUACACUCUAUAGUCUCAGAGAAAAGUGCAAAUUUAGAACUCAGUGUCCCAAAAAAACCGUAUCUUAAAAGAUAACAGAAUUCUCAUCAUGGUUUUGACACAUAUCAAACACUGUCCCACAAUAAGAACAUAUCUUGUAUUAGUAUGGCCUCACAUUUAAUAGCAAAAGCUGGAGGCGGCACUAAAAAAUAAAAAUUGAUGUAAACCUCAAAGAUUAAGACCCUUAACUCAAUUUAAGCCUAGCUCAUUAUUUCUAGCCACCCCUUAUAAAUUAAACCGUGUCCUUGUGCUUCAUACACAUCCUCAAUCAAAACAACAUAAGCUCAAUUUUCAUUCCUAUAGCUACCCUUUUCCCAUAAACACCUGAAAUUAAAUCACAUUAAUUAACAAUGGCAAAUUCUCGCAUUGCAAGGUUUUUCAUGGAGGUGGCGCCGCCACAAUAUGUUAAUGUGAUGAGGCAUAGAACAAAAAAAAUGAUGGAAACAAUAAGUGAAGAGGACAGGGAAAUUAUCUCAAAUGAUAGUGUAAUUUCCCCACCUAAAAGUUCAUCAACAACUUCACUUGCUGCAUGUACCUCUUCUACCAAUGCAACCGUUAAUACUGGGUACUUCCUGAAGGAAGUUCAUAGAACACUCUCAAGUUUGAAUCACUGAAGCCAAUGAAAAAAAAAAACAACCUCUGGUGGCUGUUUCCAUGGGUUGUUCUUUUUGUUAGUGUUUUUAUUCUUAUCUUUUAUUUUAUGUAAUGAUAUCCUAUUAGUUUGUUUUGGAGGAACAAGGAUAGUUGAGACUUGAGAGAGUAUAAUGUAACCUUAGGGAUUCCUGCUGCAUCUGUGUUUUUCUAUGAUGUUACAGGCUCAUAAUUUUCUAUCAAUAAAACUCAAAGUUUUGUGCCUUAAGUUAAGCAUCCACAAAUUUAAUGUCAUGGUCAAUUUCAAGUCAUUUNNNNNNNNNNNNNNNNNNNNNNNNNNNNNNNNNNNNNNNNNNNNNNNNNNNNNNNNNNNNNNNNNNNNNNNNNNNNCCAAAUCCCAUUUUCUUUGUGAAAUCAUACUUUUGAUCUUAAUAUAAAUGUAUUUUCAGCUACUUCAAUCUGUAUCUGAACACUAGCUACUUCUGAAUUUUAUACCUAAAAACACUUGGUACAACUUGGGAAGGGUGGUAGGAGUAUGGAUAAUAAAACACCAAGCAUAUAUAAAUGAGAAAAUGUAAGCGACUUCAGAACCUGAUACAAUAUGCUAAAAUUUCUAAAAUUUCCACUGUGUCAAAAAGACCAACCUGUAUCUAAAACAUAGGUAUCUUUCUUUUCAUUGUUUACUGUAGAAGAUAGCAACGAGAUAUCCAAGCUCCCACUGGUAGAGUUUAGAUAUCUGCUUUUGUCUUUUGAGUUUCCCCUCUAGAAACUUCUUCAACGAGGAAGUUUCUGAGUAGCCUUUGGUCCAAAAUCAUAUUUGGAAUCUGCAGAAAGCAAACCCAGAAGAUCAAACCUAUGCACCACAAAAAAACAAGAGAAUAACGAAAUAGCUAUAGCUAAGAUGAGAGGUACCUUGUCUCCAAAGAAAAUCUUCGUAUUAUUAGCAAUGGAUUCGAUAAAUUUUAGCUCAAGAAAUUCAGGGGUAAGUUUCAACCUGUUUGCUUCAGCUUCCCUUAUUACACUGGAAAUAGUAAGCAGAACAAGUUGACCAUUUCUUAUUUCAAAGACAGAUGAUUAAAAUAUCAUAGUCAUAAACUUACAUUAACCAAUGAAAUUAACAAAAGGAAAAUCUCACCGGUAGAAAUCUGCAUCCGCCAGACUCUUCUCACGUGCUAGGUACAUUGCAUUCUCAAUUUCUUCCUGUUUUCUUGCACUAUCUUUUUCCAACAACUUUUGUUCCAUAAGGAUCUUGCUAACAUUGGCAUUUUUCUCAGCCUCGCUAAUAGCCAUCUUCUUCAUAGUCUCUGCCUCCUUCUCGGAUACUUUUUGUUUCUCAAUAGCAAUUAAGCCCUAUCCAAUAGCAUACAAGGCACAGUGUUUAUCAAUAUCUAGAAUAGAGGAAAUUCAAACUGAAUAAGAAUCGCGAAGAGAAAUAUAAAAAAAAACCUACUACAAGCGAUUACAAUUUACAAGACAUGUAUCUCAGAUUAUGACAGUAUGAAUCAAUCAUAAGGUUAAAUACAGAGUUAGCACAUGUUUAACUCAUUUAAUGAGAUUAUCAACUAAAUAUUGCAUCUGUCUAGCUUCGGGCAUAUUUACAGGAAAAUGACAGGUGCUUAUACCUUAGUACGCUCCUCUUCCAUCUGUUCAUAGUUGUGGCUUAUGUUUUCUGGAAUAUUUGGCUUUGUGACACGGACACCAAUGAUCUCAAUGCCUGGAGCAUAACGGGUACAGUCAACUUGAAGAGCAUCCUUCAUCUUUUCGUCAAUCUGAAAGUGCCCCGAUGCUUGCUUGUUAAUAUAUUAAGAUGAGAUAACUAGAAAGGAGAAAAGCCAGAAGACAGUCAAACAAUACAUUUUGGGUUAACUCGGCUAACACAACAGAGCAAAAGAAUCACAAGUGUUGGGUGAGGGGGACUUAUGACUUGCAUCAACUACGUUUUUAGUGGAUGAGAAUGAAAGUUACAGCUUAAAAUAAUACAUCAAAGAUCAAACUAUUUCAUAUUAUGUCAAUGGAAACCCUUCAAUUUUGCUAGUUUGAUUAACCAUACAAUAUAAAUGAAAGUUAUCAGUAUAAAAUAAAACAUGGAUGUAAAAUUACACUUUCAAAUCAUUAAAUUACCUGAUCAAACACAUCAAUAUAUACUUGUUGAAGACUAUGAGAGCUGCAGAACUGAUUAAUCUCAUGAUGAAUCUUGUCAUAUAUCCAUGUCUUGUCAUAUUGUACACCAUAGUUGAGCAAUGUCUCAUAGACAGAUUCUUUAUGCAAUCGGUUAACAACCUAAAAGAAGAACAUUACUGCAUUUACAAUUAACAGUGUAAAAAAGUAGAAACUUGUAAACCAGAUAUUGCGUAUGACAAUUAUACUUGCUAUUACCUCAAUCUUCCCAAAAGUAAUCAUAACACCACCUUUAGUACCGCACGGUAUAUCUGUCACCUGCAAUUGCAACCAGUACUCAAAAUCCAAAUUAUAGAUCCAACAGAAACCCUAAUUCCCAACACUGUUCUAUAGAAUUUACCUCGUCUGUUUGAAGUGUCACUUGAACUGGCUCAAACUGAGUUAAGAAAGGCAUCUUCAUAUGGAAACCUGGAAGAAUUAAUAUCACGAACAUCAACAAAAAUUGUGCACACAUACAUCGAAGAAAAGCAUCGAAAAAACAAAUAAGCGUUUAGCACCUGGCUCUGUAAUUGUUUUCAGAAGCGCACCUCCUCUCCAAUAUACCCCCACAUGGCCUUCAGGGACUUGGUGAAUAACUGACAUUGUAUUUUUUAAGGAUGGUGAUGCUGAAGGAACCAAAACCUAUAGAUAAUAAGACAUCGUUUUAAGCUUUAGAUGUCGACUAGAAUCGAUUUCCAAAUAAUGUAAAUAAGUGGUAGUACAAAAACAACAGUAACCAAAUUAGCUAGGUGGGUUCAACUACAUACACAGAUUAAAUAAACCAUUAUGCAUCAUCAUCAAAAUCAAAGCACACAAGAAAUAAUAUCAAAACAACAAAUUAAGACAAAUAUUCCAUUUCCUAUUCAUUGUCAUAAUAUAAUGUUAGUAAUUUAAAAUUAUAGUCAUUCCUCUGUUUAAAAGAAGUGCAAAGGUGAGCAAAACAUUAAGUUGGAUGUCCUACCGUAAGUGCCCUAUGUAUAUAUGAUUACCAUAUCAUUUUUAUUGUGUUAACCCUCCGGUACCCAGGAAAAGUGGCCUGAUUAUUCGAAGUCCGGCCGCGAGGUAUGUAAAGUCUGGCCAAAAAUUGUUCCUCUUAGAAGUCGAACAUGGGUUCACCUAAACGAUGCGUUCAGUGGGAGCUCAUUAACUACUUGACCUCAAUCACUUGGUUACCAUAUCAUAUUUGAUGCAAAACAAAUGGUUUUAAAUUGUGGUCGCAAUUUUGACAAUAUCAAGCACAUUUUCCUGGAAUAUAAAAUUUCACAACAACCGUAACCACAAUCGCUAUUUAGAAGAAUUAUUAUUAUCUUAUAGAUGCUGGUGAGGAAUGCCCUAAAAAGUGAAUUACAUUUACAUUAACAUGAUUAUUGGUACUAAACUACUACUUUUUCUAUGUGUGAUUGUUUUUCCAAUGUAGGUAAUAUAUUUUUUCGUUGUGCAAAUGCAAAACAGGGAAAUUUUCAUGACGAAUGAUUAUAGACAUGAGAAAGAUAAAAAAAACAGAAUUGGAAAGGUUUUAAUUUCACUAUUACAUUUGCGGAAAGAGAGGAAGAGAAAGAGUUACCAAAGCGGCAAUGAGUAUGAAUGAGAGAAAGGGUAGCAUAAUGGAAGUUGAUGAAGGAUCACGAGUUUGCGAUAUUCGAGUUUGGUGCUGCGAAUCCAUGGCGGUGGAACUUUUUCUGUUUGUGUUUUUGAUUCUUUGAGUUUGGGUUUGGUAUAAAACACCUCUUGCUUCCUUAUUUGUUUGAUCGUGAGAUACACCAAAAAUUGAUUUUGAACAUAUCUUAUUUGUGGCCAAUUUUAUUUUGUCAGCCUACGGCUAUGUUUGGAUAGAUGGAAAGUGAUCGAAUUGAAUGGAAUGGAGUGAAAUAUAUUUAUAUUUCAUUGUUUGAUUUUGUAAAUAAUGGAUGGAAUGGAAUGGAGUAUGAUGGAACUCAUUCCAUCUAAUAGCACUCAUUCAUCUAAUUUUUCAUUCCUCCCAAUUUGGGGUGUAUGCAAUGGAAUGGAAUAAACUAAUAACAAAAAUACAAUUUUGUUCCUUUUUUUUUUCUUCUCUUUUAUUAAACUUUCUUUCUUCCCUCUCACUUGUCUUCUAUUGACUGUUCUUCUUCUGCAAUUUUAUUCCAUCGAUCCAAUUUUUCUAUUGACCGUUCUUCUUCUGCAAUUUUCAUUCCUCCUUAUUCUUUUUUCCAUUAUUUUCCGCCGUGUGUUCGUCACAAUGAAAUAAAGGGAUGACUGAGGUAAACAAAUAUAUAUAUAUUCAACUACGUACUAGUAUAUUUUUCGUCAAAAAAAAACUACUAGUAUACUACUAUUUAUUUAUUACAGUGUAUUACUAAUUAGGUAAGGUAAAUUCUUUAAAUACAUUAUAUUUUUUUGUUUGGUCUGACAUUAUAUAAUAAUAUUAUUUUAAUAUAAGAUAUAAUAUUAAAUAAUUUUUUGUUUUGUUUUUUGGUCAAUAUAAGAUAGUGUAUUUUAUUUCUAUGUAAUUGUGUUUUUUAAUUAAGGGUAUAAAUGUAAUAAAAUAUUUCUUAUCUGUUCCGUUCCGUCCACUUUCAAAACAAUGGAAUAGAAAUAUCCAAACAAUGGAAUGAAAUAUUCAUUUCACUCCUCUCCAUUCCACUCCAUUUCAUUAUGUUCCACUCCGUUCCGUUCCAUUCUAUUCCAUCAAUCCAAACAUAGCCUAUGUGUUUUUCGCACGUCGAGGUCGGCCAAGUUGUCAAUUUUAAUUGGCCACACCGUGGUUAUAAAUAGACCCCUUCAGACUUUUUAGAUCUCACACCUCUUUUUCUCUUCUUAUGUUUCUUUUUAUAUUUUUUUAGUAAUGUUAGUUCGUUUAAUUUUUGUCAUUUCAUGUUAUAUCUCCGUUUCAGGGACAAAAUUUCACAAGAGGAGAUUGUUUAGUUUAUUUAAUUGGCAGUUGAAAUUUUGGAUGUAAUAUCUAAAUUGAUGUAAUUUUUGUGUUUAAUGUUUUAAUAAAAAAAAAUUAUGUCUUAACUUCAUUUUGUCUUUCCUGAUUUUCUUUUUUUUAUGUAACAUAGUCAUUCGCUACUUAAGUAACAGAAGCCCCAUCACCCUACGACCAAUCCGCUACUUAAGUAGUGAAGUGACUGCAAUAAGAACCAGAAGCAAGAACCUAUAACCAGAACCAGAUUUUUGGACUUGUUAUCUCGUUGAGCAAUUUAUCGAUGUCGAUACACGUAAUAACAUUAUUCAUUUGCAAACAUAUAAUUAUCAAAACAAAAUAAUAACAUAAAAUACUUAUCCAAAAGAUGCCAUUACAAAAUAUAUGUAAUUAUCCGAACAAACAUAUAACAUAAUUAUCACAAAAGGAGACUAUGCAUAGCCCCUCCACCACCCGACCUCCCGUAUUACGGUGCAAAAUUUGAGACAUCCCAAAUUUGUACAUCACCCCUGGCACGUGACCCCUCCGUUAACUCCCCACUCAACAACAAAUCAUUUACGAUCUGUCAAAUUCUAUUUAUUUUAACGGCCAAGCUUGUUGCAAGGGGCCCUUUCUUCUCAGCUUCCCGCUCUAUAAGGGCCUUCUGUUCACACUGCUUCAGUGGAUCCCUUGGCGGCAUAGGCCUCUUGUUCACACUCCGUGCUUACCAUACGGGGCUCAUGUGAUGUGGAAUCCCAAAUUUUCUUUGUAUAAAUAUUUAUCCAAAAUUAUUGUUAAACUAUCGUUUAAUGUUACUCAAUUUUUUUCAUAUACAUUAUAUUAUUGGAAUUAUCAUAUCUUAUUUAAUCAUUAUAUAUGUUACGGCUAAUCAAACUCAUGCAUCGCACGGGUCGAUGUUCUAGUAAUAAUAAAGUAACGUUGCAAGGCGGAGUGGAAACAAACAAGACAACGUCGACGAGGGAAAGUAACGUAAGUAUAUACAUCUGAGAGAUGUUUAGUAUUGCAACCUUUUAAUUAUUGGGUCAUGCUAACCGGUGCCCCCGGGCACUGGUUAAGGAAACUAAAAAAGGAAAUUUUAAAAUUGAAAAUAACACUUUUUAGACUUUCGAGGCGUUGACUGCACAAACUUCAAUAUGAUAUUACUAUAUUUGGUUCCUUAAACAGUGCCCCGGGACACUGUUUAGCAUUUUCCUUAAUUAUUUUAUUUGAAAUUAAAAUAAAUUAUAAAGGGUUAUAGUUAAAAUAAUAAGAGUAAAAGUCGAAGAAAUAACAAAAAGUUAUAAGCUCAAAUGUUAAUUGAAAUAACAUCUGAAAAAUAAGCUAUAAACUAGUAAAAUAAGUUAUAAGCUCGUAGUAAAAAAACGUUAUUAAACAAAUCUUUUACUCUCUCCAAUCCAAAAUGUAAGUCACUUUGAUAAAAAUAAUUAUACCAAAUUAUAAGUCACUUUACAUUACCGGUGAAGCAUUUAAUGCUUUUUUUUUUCCUAUUAUACCUUUAACUAUUUAUUUUACUUUCUUUUUUCAAUUCUUCUAUUUAUUUUUCUCAUACCAUUAAUGAAGGACAAUUUUGUAAACUAACUCAUAAUUUCUCUUUUUCAUACAAUAUUAAUCAUAUUUCUUAAUUUAUGUAAUAUGAUCAAAACUUGAAACGGAGAGAUAUAAGCUAAAUUAUUGUGAUCACCAAUCAGAACCUUAAUUUGAACAGAAAAAUACAGCUGCCAGGUCACAAUUAAGCCAAGGCACAAAGUUGAAGGAAAAAUUAUCCAUGGAUUAUGGUAGCAUGCAUGCGUCAUGCCAAGUCCUACACUACACGACACACAUGCCACUGGUACCAAUGGAGUUUACGUCUGAUCACACGUGUAAAGAACCAUCAGAAAAUAUGACAAAGACAUGGAAAAAAGUACAUUACAACUCCCCGGAACACAACCUCCCUUUGUUAUUCCUUUUAGUCUUACAUUAAGAUUAGGAGAGGUAGUAUUCUAUUUUUAUUGUCCUUUCCUUGAUGUUUAGAAAAAAUAUUAAUGUCUUUAAAAUUUAAAAGAGGUCUAAAGAUAAAAUGAAUCUCAAAAGGGUCUAUAUUUCGGGUAUUAUUUAUUUAAUGGUUUUGUUAACCAGUGUCUUGCACUUUUUAAGGUUUUUAAUUAAAGAAAUUAUUUAUUUAUUUACUGACAAAAAAAUAUUAAUUUAAAUUAAUAGAAUACAUCAAAUACAAUCUCAUAUUCAAUAUCGUUAAAAAUGUAAAAGGAUCAAUCUGUGACAAACUCACAACAUACAAGUUAAUAGCAUACAACGACCAGUUGCCUACUACAAAUAAUAUGAUAAAAUUAAAGUGACCAGAAUAUUCAUGCUUCCGGAUCUGCAUCGUUGAUGCCAAAAUCGUUGAUAUAUGAAUCUGCAAAUAUGCAACUGAUCUUUCAACAAGAAUAAGCGAACACCACAACUAUACGAGAGGGAAACUAUUUAUUUAAAAAGUUAAACAUUUCAAUUUUUAAUGCAUUGAUUUUACACAUAAAAUUUAUUACUUCGUCAUGUUACUAUUAUAAGCAAAAAUUUAUUUUUUAGAUUCAUUAAAAAAUUAAUAUAUUUAGUCUACAAUAUAUGUCAAUUAAUACAUUUGUUUUUCAAUGAAACUAAUGUCCUAAGGACUCCGGGGACUUUCUUUAGUAUUUUCUUUAUUUAAUUAAUUUUUUGUUUUUUGGUGCACCCUUAUUUAAUUACCAAGAAGACUACUAGAGAGAAAAAUGUGAAAAGCCUUGAGCNNNNNNNNNNNNNNNNNNNNNNNNNNNNNNNNNNNNNNNGCUUAUUUCUCUUGAUCUCUUUUUCUUUUCUUUCUUUCUGCCUUAGACAUACUCACAUCAAAAUCACCUUCUCUUGUCAUGGCUUUUCUGGCCUAUGCUCUGCUUUUCCUCUCCCUCACUGCUCAUUCAAGUAAGCACCAAGAACUACUCCUAUAUGUUUGUCUAUCUUUCAAGUUUCAACAUUUUUAAUUAUUUAUUUUUAUUUAAGAAAACUAUGAAAAUUUUCAACAUUUAUAUAUUUUUCCUAAUUCCUGAUUUGGGUUCCUUUGAUUAUUUACAAAAACUAUUUCCUUUAAUUCUGGGUUUUCUGUAUGAAUAAUUUUAGAAAAAUAUCAAUUCAAUCCACUGGUUGGUUCUGUUUUUUUUUUCUUUUCUAUAUGAACUAGUUCUGUUAACACAACUAUUUUUUGCCCCUUUUUUAUUGAAACGGAAAAAAAUGGUUAUGCACUUAUUAGUCCCUCCUGGCAAUAUUAUAAGCAAAAAUAUAGCACAAUUGACAGAAAUGUCAAAAUUGUUAGUGUCGGACGCCAUGACGGNNNNNNNNNNNNNNNNNNNNNNNNNNNNNNNNNNNNNNNNNNNNNNNNNNNNNNNNNNNNNNNNNNNNNNNNNNNNNNNNNNNNNNNNNNNNUGUUUUUUUUUUUUUUUGCUGACCAGAGGGAGUAUUGUUCUAUGAAAAAGGUGGAAUUUUGGUGUGUAAUUAACCAUGUUUUAUUUUCACAGGUGCUUUUUACUGUGUUUGCAAAGAUGGUGUGGCUAUUAAACUUCUUCAGGAGGCAAUUGAUUAUGCUUGUGGAACUGGAGCUGAUUGUACCCCUAUUCUUCAAAAUGGACCUUGUUUCCAACCCAACACUGUAAAAGAUCACUGUAACUAUGCUGUUAACAGUUAUUACCAAAGAAAGGGUAAUGUUCAAGGUAGUUGUGAUUUUGCUGGUGCUGCAACAACUUCUCAAACACCACCUAGUAAGUAUUUCCGUAUAACCACUACAUAUUUUUCGUACAUUUUUGUGGGAUUUUAUUUUUAUUGAUUCUCUUAUCUUCCUUGUGUUUCUUUUUCUACAGCUGCAGUUUCUGGAUGUGUUUACCCUUCAAGUCCUGGGUAUGUUUCAUUAUACGUAUGAUUCUUGUUCUGUUUUUUAUUUUAUUUUAAUGUUGUUUUGUUUAUUUAUAAAUCAAAAUAAUUGAGUAAGUUUUUUGCAAUUAAGUUUGAGUUUUGUGAGUGUGACGUGAGAAUUUUGUGGAAAAGUCCCAUUUCUUAUAAGCAUUUUAUGGUUAGCACUUACCUAUUGGAUGUUUUCAUUUUCCAAAGCAGUUUUUCUUGAAGUAGUGUUUUUCUUUUUGUUUGCCAAGUAAAGAAGAAGAGACACACAAAAUGAGUGGGGUCCACAUCCUUUUCAUUUCUCCCUUAUUAUUAAUUAUUAUUAUUAUUCCCUACCGUGCUUACUUUUUAAAUUCAUAGAAUGUUGAAUGUAUCUGGUCUAUAUUAUUGAUUAGAUACAUCCAAUAUUCUAUGAAUCUAAAAAGUAAACUUCGUCUUAUAAUAAGGACCGGAGGGAGUAUUAUGAGAAGAAAGGUAAAUAAUCUGUUUUUUUUUUAAUUUUGAAUUGUCCAUAAUGCCCUCAUUAAUUAUGUAAAAUGUGAAACAUUUGUGUUUCACUGCCCUUCCAUUUUACUUGCACAUUAGUCAAAAGCCCCUUUUCUAUUGAAAUACUCCGUCGGAUCUUUACUCCUAUAACAAAAAAAAAAAUGUUUUUUAGAUUCAUUGGACGGUUAAUAUGCUCCCUCCCGUCACUGCAAAUUUAAUAUUUUUGAUAAAUUGAGAAAGUGAUGUAUCUUAUGGAUAAUAUGGACUAUAUACAUCACUUUUCUAAUGAAUCAAAAUAGUAAAAUUUGGUUAUAAUAGUAACCAAAAAGUAUCUUGUGUCGAGCGAGUAAGACUUGACAUGAUUUCGAUAUUUCCAAGUCACAGAUUUUGAUAUUUCCAAUAUCUUUGUUGUGAUUUGGAUUGCUGUCUCACACACUUUGACGUUUGACACAGUUGGCAUAUUGGUAACUGCAAGUUUGAGAUUUGUCCGCAUUUCAAGUUUGGUAUUUCAUUUUUUUAAAAAAAUAAAUUAAAACCUACAUUGAAAUCUUAGCGGUAUGAUUUUGAUUCGACAACCACCUAUGUGCUUAUGUGAGAUUACUAACUCAAAUUUGUAUAACAAUGAAAUAUGUUAAUUUUGCAUCUUAUAUCACUUCAAGUUCAAUGUUGAUAUUUUUUUAUCCUGGCUCUCUUUUGCAGCAAUGCAGGAACACCAUCGACAGGUUCACCCGGUUCAACUCCAAGUCCGGGAACCGGUACUGGCACUGGCACGGGAGGAACUGCGGGUAGCCCUACUGUGUUUGGAAUAAGUCCAACAUCUACAAUUAGUGGCAACGGUGAUCCUUCUGCAGCUGUAGUGUCUUAUAUGAAAAGCAUCAACACCUUGCUAUUGUCCUUUGUUUGUUACCUUGUGUUUUAGCCUUCAAGGUCUAAACUAAAGGUGCAAUGCUUUACUAUUAGUACUAGUGAGUUAGAAAAUUUUAGGGGGUUUUAUGUGUGGAUGAGAUUUUGCACAAAAACAUGAUGGUUAUUAUGUGAUUUUACUUAUAUGAAUCAUCUACUUGCAAACCCAAUUUUGUUUUGUUCCUCCUAAGUAGAAAAUUUUUUUUGUAGGGAAUUUGGUUUUUUAUUUAGUGGUGACAUAUUUUGAUUAUGACAACAUGGAGGGUAGAAGUAGUAGCCUUUUUCCAUUUGUAUAUCUAAGAAUAUGACCUGCACUAUUUUUUAAUUAAUUUAAUGGAAGCCAGCUACCCUAUUUAUUAUCUAGUUUACAUUAAGGUUCAAUUUCAUGCUAGCCGGCUUCUUCCUUGAUUUGCCUUUGACAUUCCUUGCAGAUUCAAAGAAGAUGAUGUAAUCUCAAAGUAAUUUAAAAUGUUGUAACGUUUUAUAAUAAUUUUAUAUAUAAAGGUAGGUCAUGCCGACACUAGUUAGCAAUUUCGAUAAAAGUAUAUGAAUCGACAAGUUAAAUUCUCGGAACUCACGAAAUCUUCCAAUGAGAUUUUCAUAUUGUAAAUGAUAUUCAAACUCAGUCCAUCAUGUAAUUUGAGUUGAAUAUUUUGCUUACACAACUAACUUACUUACCUACGUUUUACUUUAAGGGGUUUUUUCUUAUAAGAAAAAACGUUACGAUUGAAUCAAACUCAAAUAGAGUCGGUCCAACAUUAAAUUAGACAUAAAGCAAAUUUUAAGGUGAGGUUUUUGCAUAAAAAAAUAAUAUUUUAUUAAAAUCAUAGAAUUUUGAGAUCCGAUACCACCGCACCCCAUGUGCAUGCAUAAUGAAUUUGAGGGUAUGUGUUAGAUAAUAAAGUAUUGAGUUAUGUUGAUCUGUUAGUUUAGAGUUCAUUUUAUAUAUAUUUUUUAGUAAUCUUUUAUAUUGUUAAGCUAUUAGUAUUCUAUGAAACCUUAACCUCCUUUGUUAUUCUCUUCGUUUAUAUUUCGGGCUGAUUCUAACACUCUGCUUUUUGUAACAUUAUGAAAAGUAUAUAGGUUGUUCAAAGGUCACUAUAUCAACAAUACAAGAUGUGAAUUUCUACCAUCUCUUUCCGUUUUUGCAUUUCUUUCAUGCCGUAGAAGGAUUUUUUCUCUUGGACACAAUUGCUCCUAAAAGUCAAUUACGACUAAGAAUAAUUUUGUUUUACAUCUUGACACGCUUAGCAUACAAAUCUUAAAUAAAUACUCCCUCCGUCCCAUAUUAUAAGCAAAAAAAAUCAUUUUUUCAUGUCCCAAAUUAUAAGCAAAAAAAACUAACUUUUAUCAUUUUCAAGAUAAACUUUUACUUAAUUUACUCUCUCUCUUCUUUUCCCCAUAAUCAAUAACCAAUAAAAACUGUUUUAACAUCUUCCCAUGAAAUUUAUUUCAACAAACACACAAAAAGUCAACCUUAAAAUUAUCAUAUUUUACUUUUCUUAAUAAGUGUGAAAAUAUUUUUUUUACCUAUAUUAUGGGACGGAGGGAGUACUACUUACAACGUAGUUAAUAAAAGUGCAUGCCGGCAUUUUUUGUAAUUUAGAACACAAUCAAACUAGGGAAAGAUGUUUUAAUCUGAAUAAGAAAUGGUGAGGACAAAUGUGUUUUGACUUUUGAAACUAUUUGUUCACGAUUAGUUAGUGUCUUGCAUCGGAUGAAUGUAGUAAUGUAGUUAGACAAGAACGGUCCAUUCAAUUAAGAUUGAACCGAACUGUAUAAUUGUUUUAUAUUUGGACUCUCUGAUGAUGGUCAGAUAUUCCUUAACUGCAUGCAAUUUUGAAUGCAUCCAAUCUAAAUCCCUUGUAUCGAUGUAUCAUAAUUAAAAUCAAGGCUUAAAUGUAAUUUUGAUCCCCUAUAUUUAGUAAAAUGCGAAAUUUUGGUCCCCAUUUUGUUUUGUGCAAUGUUGGUCCCUUAAUUUCUUUUUCCGCAAUUUUGGUACCUACUAUUUUAAAAAAAUUCAGACAUUUGGUCCCCUAACACACUCACAAGUGCAUGAGUAUAUCAUCGUAAUAAAAAGAGUAUAGAAUCCACAUGGACUAAUGAGCAACAUGGUAUAACUUUCAAAUCAAGGAAACAUAUAGUGAUUUUUAUAAAAACAAUAGUGAUUGAGAUUGAUUGGUUUUGAGAGUUGUAUUUAAAGGCAUUAUGCCUCACUUUGAAAAACAAUCAAUGAAUGAACAAUUAUCUCCUUGCAUAAUCUUUCUUAAUUGUAUCGGAUUCUAUUCUUUUUUUUAGGUCAAGUAGCCUAAUAACUAGAAAAUUCACCUUAAAGGUAAAUAAGUAGAGUGUCUCGGGUUCAAAUCCGGGUUCCUGCACAUAUAGUGCGAUAUCCCUACCAACUGAGCUAUGCUCAAGAGGACGUAUCGAAUUCUAUUCUAAAUCCUUAGAAUCCCUACUCUUGAGAAUUAGAUUUUUCGGUUUGUCCUAAAAUCCAUUUACCCGUUACACUUGCAGUUUUGUCCACUAUUAAACUUUUGUACACCCAUUUACCCCUAUAAUAACACUCGACCAACUUGCAAGCUUUACAAGAUCUUUUAUAGCAAGAGUGGUCAUUUCUCUGUAUAUAGCUCUUGAAUGUAGCCUGCUUUCAAUUUUGUUAGACUAGGUUCCAUCAUAUGAGUAAUAACAACGAAUUUUUUAUAAGCAAUAAUAACUAUGCAUUUCCUAUAAGCAAAUAUAUCCUUUUUACUUGUUAGUUUAGCUUAUUGCUUAGCAUCAAGAUUUAAAACUACGGUAGUUGCAGAUGUCACAAUCUUUGAAAUUGCACAGAAUCAAUAAUACUGUUGCGUUAACUACAAUUCGAAGUACAUUGCUUAGCAACGAAUUUUUUAUAAGCAAUAAUAACUAUGCAUUUAGCUAUAUGUAAACCAUUCAUUACUUCAAUUUAACACUUUACUUCAAAUAUAUAAAAACAGUAGAAAGAAAAGCUUCGGUAAUCAUAAGAGAGAAAUAAAGAGCGACACAUCAAACUUUAUAGCAUUUGUUGGAUAUAAGAUGAACACAGUAACUAUGAAGUCCGGUUCAAAGUGAGCUGCAAGAUAAGCUGAAAAAUGCUCUCUUUGCAGCCGGGCUAUUAGAUGCCUCACUACAGCGUCCAGGGUCAGCAUGCUAUUUCAGUGCUGUAAAUAAAAAUAAAAAUAAAAUAAAUAUCAUGAACAGAAAUGUUUGCACAUAGUUUUGUUGCAAAUAAUGCGAAACAUUGCAUAAAUAUAGAGAAUUGGUGGUAGUUUUAGUCAGAGAUGGUUUUGUCUCGAGAUAUAGUACAAUUGUAUAUACAAAGUUAGUGCCAAAUUUGUCGACCUAGAAAAUCAUAUAAUUAAAAGGUAUUAAUUGAAACAUUGACUGAUUGAACAUCCAACCAACCUAACUUAGGCCUCUUUCAAUUGAGUAAAUUGUUGAGCUAGACAAUCAUGAUCCCCGUUUUACCAAAAACAAAAACAUAAAUACAAGGUAUUGAUUGAAACAUUGACAGAUGAAUUACCCAACAUGCUUACUUUAUAGUCACUUUAACUAAUCUGUGUUACUGAUUGCAUUUGCUUCUGUUCUAACAAAUUUAGUACUGAAGCUCUGUACCGAGAAAAUAGUACCGAAGCUAAUUAUGAAUCAUACACAUACCUCUGGUUCAACAGGUUUGGCUUCUUCUGUUUUGACUUCUUCACCUGCAUGAGAACAUUCAUUAUUUGAGCACAGUGAUAUAGAGUUGCUUAACACAACUAUCAUGCAACAUCAACUAUGAAGAGCAUAUUUUUACUUCAAUAGCACAAUCAUUUAGGACUCGAAUAUGAACCACAUAUGCUACUCCACAUCCUUAUAAUUUUUAUUUAUUUUUAUAUUUUUUUGAAGUUAAUCAACAAUAAAGAAUCAUUCUUUAUAUUAUUGGACAUUCCUUACGUCAAAGUUAUUCAUCUAUGUUUAUAAACAUCAAUAAUGGAUCAAACUUCAGUUUUCAUCUAUGUAUGUUACAAAAGUCUUACUUGACUAUUUGAAAAGGUAAGUUACAUCUUCAAUUUAUCAAGAUAACAUCCAAAUAACAUUAUAAUGACCGUUUCAAUAGUAAAAUUCAUCAAGUAUUUUUGAAUUUUUUUUAACUAAGAUUGUGAUCUCGGUGUUGUCAAUGAGGGUCUAAUUGAAGUGUUGAGUGGUGAAACAUUAUUUGUAGUAUAUCAUCAAAUGGUCAUGCAUAAAAAUUUCUAACAGAACUGAACUAAUUGGUUCAACGGUGUAAAGAUUUUUAAAGAUAAAUGACCAACUUGAAAUUUUAAAUUAGGUUAAAGCACCUCUUGUGUAAUUUUGCCAAUAAAGUAAAGAGGAGUUCUUAGCUUUAACUCUUUAAGAACUCAAGAAAUCACUUCAUUUGGAGAUGCUCUAAAUAACAAGAAACUUGGUUGUGCAAUUGAUUGGUCAUGAAAUUUUUAGAUAUAAUCUUUAAAAUUUAUAUCUUUUGUUAUACAUAUUUAUUAUAUAAUAUAAGUAUGAAGGAAAAUAAAAUCUCACUAUAUUAGUAAUCAUUGAAUAUUAAAGAAAAGGUUGAUGUUUGAGAGGGAAAAAAAUUUGCAAAUAAAAAGACUAAGAACUAAAGCAAAAAAUUGAAAAUAAGAAAAAUCAGAGUGAAAAGAUAAUUGCAUUUAAUGUUAUACUGUCAUGCUUAGUUAAUUUAAAAGUUGAUAUAUAGAAUAAUAUAAUAUGAUGAAUAUAUUACAAUACAUUUUAGUAUUAUAAUGUAGUGUAGUGUGUAUGAUGUAAUUUAUUUAAAAGUGGGAAUAGUUAUUGUUUGGAUUAUAAGCUGUUCUGUUUCAUAUAAGUAUAUAGACAUGGACUAAUAUGUCUCAAAAGAAUGUUAGCGGGGCAUAGCCCAAAUGCAUAAUAAAUCUCAAUCAUCAUCUUACCUCCAUCCUCAGGUAAAUCGGAGGUCCAAAGUGUAAGGUUGUCUCUCAACAAUUGCAUGAUCAAAGUACUGUCCUUGUAUGACUCUUCACUCAAGGUAUCUAAAUCCGCAAUUGCCUCAUCGAAAGCUUGUUUAGCCAAAUGACAGGCCCUGUAUGUUUCAGUAAUGACAUUUAAAUGAGAGUUAGCAAUAAGAGCAAUUCACUGAACCUAUGCAGAUCAUAUAAUAGUGUUAGAACUUAGAAGCACAGAUGUGUGAUGUUUUUUGAAUUAAAUCUAGAUAUAUUCCUUGUUGAAAACAAUUCUAUUCGAGGCCUACAUAAUAACGAGAGUAUGAUAGCUCUCAAGAAAUUUGUUUGGCACAAAAGAUCAAAAAAGGGAUCUCUCAGUAAGCAGUAUCCUUGAACAUAUUCCCACCACUUGUAGAGCUAGCAUACUACAACUAGGCCAAUCCCAUUGGAUUAUUUGUGUGUGAUAGGAUGUGAGAAAAUUGUACUCCUAUAUUUUAUAACAGAUGAUUGUUAAUUAACUUGGUUGGAUGGACCAAUACCUAAUGAGUAAUAAACUAAUAAUGUUCAAUAAACUAUAAACCUAAUGAGUAAGAGAUGAUUUUUUAAUGGCCCGAACUAAACAUAUGAACUUCACACUUUUAAUCGUGCAUAGUAAUUAGUAAGAUGGUAGCUACAUGGUCACCCUGUCCUCUAUUAAAAAACCCGUUUGGUCUGAAAGUUUACUUUUGGACAUCAUGAAAUUUACUUCCAGACGGAACAAAAUCAGUAACUUGCUAAACACACUACCAAACUCAAUCUAUGCCAUUAAAGAGUAUAAGUAACUUGCCUUUCAGGAGAGUUCAGUAUCUCAUAGUAGAAAACAGAGAAGUUGAGUGCAAGUCCAAGACGGAUUGGAUGUGUUGAUGGAAGAUCCGUGCUUGCAGAUGCGGAAGCAGCCUAACAAUCAUAGAAAUAUUUUGUACAUUAAAACAAGGCACCAUAAAUAGAGAUUAACACAAAACAUUCAGUGGUGAAAUGAGGGAGAUAUCAGACAAUAUACCAACCUCAUAUGCCUUCAGUGACUGCUCAGCUGCCUCCUUCCUAUCUUGUUCGCUCUUAAACUCAGCAAGAUAUCGAUAAUAGUCACCUUUCCUGCAGGAUGAAACAAGCUUAUGGAAAUCAAAUAGAGAACCAAAGCAUGAAAAAGCUAGCAAGAACAAAGAGACGUCAUGUUAUAUGAGACGAAAUAUUAUUUGCAAAACCAGAACCAAUAAGCAGAAUAUUCUGUUACCUUUUAUUUCUCAGCAAGUAAUAUAUUGAGAUACAAAAAUAAAUUCAAGAUACAAUGUUCCCUUUUAUCUCAGAUGUUAUACUUAAUAUUAAUAUGUGCUACACUUAUGAAUGAAUUCAUAUCAAACGAUUCAUAUUAUUGCUUUAACAAUUGGGAUUUAAAAUACAAACUUAAUUAAAUAUGAGUCGUGUGAUCUUUCAUCCAAUGAACAAAAUCAAAUAUAGUGAUCACAAAAUAUUUUGACCGUGCCUGUGAACUUUUUACUGCAUUAAAAUCGAUUUGCAAUUUUAUUCCAUUUGGAAACAGAUUCUCAAAAGCAGAUGAUUAUUAAAUUAACCAAGAAAACGGCACAGGUAAAACAACAUGACUCACAUCUUAUAGUAGAAAACAGUAGCUUCUCCUGUGGUGGAAGAAGGAAUGAGAUGUUGGUCAAUAAUUGUGAGAAUGUCGCUGCAAAUUUUGGACAGUUCCUCCUCAACCUUUUGGCAAUAACUCUUGAUCAGUUUCACAUUGUUCUCAUUUCCCUUACCCUCUUCUUUCUGUUCAAUUGAAGACAUAAUUCUCCAAGAAGCUCUCCGUGCACCAAUGACAUUUUUAUAUCCCACUGAGAGGAGAUUCCUCUCUUCCACAGUUAGUUCAACAUCAAGUUUCGCUACGGUCUUCAUGCACUCAACCAUUUCUGCAUCAUAUAUACAUAUAUAAGUAUGUGUUUUCAACAUCAAUAUAUCACAUCAUUCAUUAAUUGUUUACAAUUUGUAUGUUAACACCACAAAAUUACACCCUACAUAACAACUAUCAGUCUAACCAUGCAAGAUGGUAGACAUUCAACAAUAGUUAUAUAACAUUUUGAUAAAAUUAAUUUAAAGGUGACACAAAUUGAUUUUGUAAAAUGGAUUCUGACUAAAAGCGAGUUGAAUGUAAAAUGAUUUAUGUUUGUCCCAUAAGUCCUAGCUCAAGUAGCAAAAAUGCCGAAAUUGAUAGGCCGGACGUCGUGACCCGGGUUCGAACCCCAGAUCUCACAAGUCACAAUUAUAUGUGAGUUUAAUUUAAGUGGAUUACCACUUGAUCUAAGACCAAAAAAAAAAUGAUUUAUGUUUGGAUAUAUUCCCGUAAACAUGGAUGGAACAUUAAAUUCAAGGCUAAAAUCAAUUAUAGAUUCAAGUUAGAAUUAAUUUCGAACAUCCAAUCAUACCAAAAGUGAAACCAAUCAAAAUGCUUUAUGAUCCCAUGCAAGUAGAAUCAAGUAUUUAUUAUCAACAAAAUUUCUAAUUCUGUCAAAAACAAUUGUAUUGUAUCCAAUGUAGAAUAGUAAUUGAUUUGAAAAACUCCAAAUAACAACCAAACGUACAUUGAAAUUAACAUUAUGUAUAUAAAAUCAAUUAGAUAAAGUUAACAUUAAUUAAUCUACACAUGAUUUAAGGCACAAUUAAAGGAACCAGGAAAUGAAUGAAGAAAACUGAAACCUUCAUAUCUCUCUGCUUGCUCAGCAAGCUUGGCCAUGUAAACCUGAGUCUCUCUCUCUUUCUCCGUCGACAUUGUUGUGUAAGAGGGGAAAAACCAAGUUUGUGAUUGUGUGAUGUGUUUGUGGAGAAGAAGAAUGCAAGCGAGCGAGGAAGAAGGGAAUGUACGAAAGGGUAGUUAUAUAGGUGGAGCAACUUGUGGAAGACUAGAUCUCAACCGUUGGAUUUAUGUCAGAUUUUCCUGGCUUGUAAUUCAUGUCAGAUUUUGAAUUUGAAUGAUGAAGAAAGCGCACAUGAGAAAAAAAAAAUUAAAUGAAAAAAAUUAAAUGAUGUGAGAAUAUUAUUAUUAUUUUAUUUAUGGCUUAUAUAUACAUUUGGUCCCUUACGUUUAUUUUAGGUUUCAAUUUAGUCCCUUACGUUUAAAAAGUAUCAAUUUGGUCCCUUACGUUUAUUUUAGGUUUCAAGUUGGUCCUUUCCNNNNNNNNNNNNNNNNNNNNNNNNNNNNNNNNNNNNNNNNNNNACUUGGACACGCUGACACGUGUACUGUUCAAACGGUGUUAGUGACAAAACUAACGAAAAGGACUAACUUGAAACUUAAAAUAAACGUAAGGGACCAAAUUGAUACUUUUUAAACGUAAGAGACCAAAUUGAAACCUAAAAUAAACGUAAGGGACCAAAUAUGUAGUUAAACCUUUAUUUAUUUAUGAGCUUGUGCCGUGUCUAAAUACUUUUUUCUUGGAUUUGUGUUUAACUAUAUCCUCUCCAUUUCUAAUUUUUUUUCAUUACCUCCAUUAUUAUAUAGCUUUGGGAAUAUAAAUGCAAAAGUGUGAUAUUAAGUAGGUCCAGAUAUCUUUUAUACACCCUAAAACAUUUAAAAACUUUGGUAAUAGAAAAAAUAGAAAUAAUAGAAAAUGGAGAGAAUCUCAACUCCUAAGUAAUUAGGAUCCUCUCUAUAUUCUAAAAUGGAGAGGAUCUCAACUCCUAACUAAGUAUUUCUCAAUAUAUUUUUGAAUGAGACUCAUCCAUUUUACUCAUGUCCAUCCGUUGUAGUCAUUCACAAUGACUAGUUCAUACUUCUUACCAUUCAUUUACAUAGGAUGUUUUAACAGGACCAAACAAAUCAAUGUGUAAAAGUUUCAGACGCCUAGAGGUAGAAACAACAUUCUUUGAUUUGAAAGAGGUUUUUAAAAAUUUGCUUUUGUGACAUGCCUCACACAGAGCAUCUGGAAGCAAAUUUCAAAUUAGGAUGACCUCCGACUAAAUUGAGUUGAUUAAGCCUUGAGAUUCUUCUCAUACUAAUAUUGUUCAAUCCUUCUGACUAACGGCUUUACAUGACUCUUGAUUAAAUAUAAUGUCAUAACCAUUGUCAUUUAAUUGUCUUAUUGCCCGAUGAUUAUGCAUUAGAGCUUCAACUAAUAAAACAUUUUUAACUGAUUGUGCUAGCAAUUCUUAAUACAACGACUCUUAUUCUGUCCUAUAUAUAUAUAUAUAUAUAUAUAUGGGACUAUAAGCAUUUGAAGAAAUAAGUUUUGAACUCACAACUACUGAUAUACUCUUUGAAGGUAAAGCACAAAAACCCUUAGAAUAUUCUUACAAACUAUGUAUCUUAAAAUAUCANNNNNNNNNNNNNNNNNNNNNNNNNNNNNNNNNNNNNNNNNNNNNNNNNNNNNNNNNNNNNNNNNNNNNNNNNNNNNNNNNNNNNNNNNNNNNNNNNNNNNNNNNNNNNNNNNNNNNNNNNNNNNNNNNNNNNNNNNNNNNNNNNNNNNNNNNNNNNNNNNNNNNNNNNNNNNNNNNNNNNNNNNNNNNNNNNNNNNNNNNNNNNNNNNNNNNNNNNNNNNNNNNNNNNNNNNNNNNNNNNNNNNNNNNNNNNNNNNNNNNNNNNNNNNNNNNNNNNNNNNNNNNNNNNNNNNNNNNNNNNNNNNNNNNNNNNNNNNNNNNNNNNNNNNNNNNNNNNNNNNNNNNNNNNNNNNNNNNNNNNNNNNNNNNNNNNNNNNNNNNNNNNNNNNNNNNNNNNNNNNNNNNNNNNNNNNNNNNNNNNNNNNNNNNNNNNNNNNNNNNNNNNNNNNNNNNNNNNNNNNNNNNNNNNNNNNNNNNNNNNNNNNNNNNNNNNNNNNNNNNNNNNNNNNNNNNNNNNNNNNNNNNNNNNNNNNNNNNNNNNNNNNNNNNNNNNNNNNNNNNNNNNNNNNNNNNNNNNNNNNNNNNNNNNNNNNNNNNNNNNNNNNNNNNNNNNNNNNNNNNNNNNNNNNNNNNNNNNNNNNNNNNNNNNNNNNNNNNNNNNNNNNNNNNNNNNNNNNNNNNNNNNNNNNNNNNNNNNNNNNNNNNNNNNNNNNNNNNNNNNNNNNNNNNNNNNNNNNNNNNNNNNNNNNNNNNNNNNNNNNNNNNNNNNNNNNNNNNNNNNNNNNNNNNNNNNNNNNNNNNNNNNNNNNNNNNNNNNNNNNNNNNNNNNNNNNNNNNNNNNNNNNNNNNNNNNNNNNNNNNNNNNNNNNNNNNNNNNNNNNNNNNNNNNNNNNNNNNNNNNNNNNNNNNNNNNNNNNNNNNNNNNNNNNNNNNNNNNNNNNNNNNNNNNNNNNNNNNNNNNNNNNNNNNNNNNNNNNNNNNNNNNNNNNNNNNNNNNNNNNNNNNNNNNNNNNNNNNNNNNNNNNNNNNNNNNNNNNNNNNNNNNNNNNNNNNNNNNNNNNNNNNNNNNNNNNNNNNNNNNNNNNNNNNNNNNNNNNNNNNNNNNNNNNNNNNNNNNNNNNNNNNNNNNNNNNNNNNNNNNNNNNNNNNNNNNNNNNNNNNNNNNNNNNNNNNNNNNNNNNNNNNNNNNNNNNNNNNNNNNNNNNNNNNNNNNNNNNNNNNNNNNNNNNNNNNNNNNNNNNNNNNNNNNNNNNNNNNNNNNNNNNNNNUUGUCUUAUGAACCGAUGAUUAUGCAUUAGAGCUUCAACUAAUAAAACAUUUUUAACUGGUUGUGCUAGCAAUCAACGACUCUUAUUCUGUAUAUAUAUAUAUAUAUAUAUAUAUAUAUAUAGNNNNNNNNNNNNNNNNNNNNNNNNNNNNNNNNNNNNNNNNNNNNNNNNNNNNNNNNNNNNNNNNNNNNNNNNNNNNNNNNNNNNNNNNNNNNNNNNNNNNNNNAAGGCUAAUAAUAGUUUCUUAUAUUAACUCAUGUGUGUAUCUAUUUAGGAGAUUCAUUAUUUUUAGAUUGCAUAAAAAUUUGAUUUGUUGUUCUACAAAAAAAAAAAAAUUGUUCAAAUAAAAUAAUAAUAAUAAUAUUUUGUUGCUCUAGAAAACAAAUUGAUUUAUUGUUAUUCAAUCACCCCAAACAUUACUAUUCCCCUUUACGUUUUCAUUCUCAUGGUGUAUGAAUUGAGUUUAUGAAUCUAUUGGACAUAUAAGUUAUAAAUCAUUGAAAGCAAAUACAUAUAUGAAUCAUCAAUCAUGGUAUAUAUGGGUAUAAAAAUUCAAUUUUAUCGGUUUUAGUAUAGAAAACAAUUUUAAUUAAAUUGAGUUUGGUAGUAGGUUGUUUAUGUGCAUAGUUUGCAAUUGACAUUGACAGUUAAGCAAAGGAGAAUGAAAACGCAAGGAGAAUAGUAAUGAUGGGGAUAACAACAAUUUAUUUUUGUAGAACAGCAAAUCAAUUUUUUUUUGUAGAAAAAAAAAUUAUUUUUUUUUUGGUAGAACGCUUAUCAAAUUUUUUUUGGUAAAAUAACAAAUCAAAUUUUUAUGCAACCUAAAAAUAAGGAAUCUCCUAAAUAGAUACACACAUGAGUUAAUAUAGGAAACUAUUAUUAGCCUUUGAUUAAAAGAAAUAGACGGUUGAGAUUNNNNNNNNNNNNNNNNNNNNNNNNNNNNNNNNAUAUAUAUGGGACUAUAAGCAUUUGAAGAAAUAAGUUUUGAACUCACAACUACUGAUAUACUUUUUGAAGGUAAAGCACAAAAACCCUUAGAAUAUUCUUACAAACUAUGUAUCUUAAAAUAUCAUAAGACUUAAAAAUUCUGAGCUUAAUUUAGUUUAGGGUCUUGCUAACUAGUGCCCCCGGGGCACUCUUUAAGCAUUCCAUUAAAAGAAACUUUUUAUUCAAAAAAUUAAACACUCCAAUUUCCAAUGCGUUGACUUUAUGCAUUUCCAUAAAAAUUCUAUAAAAAACUUAUUAUUUAAGGGCUUAAAAAGUGCCUCAAAGGCACUAUUUAGCAUUUGCCUUUAGUUAUCACUCUUUAAGUCUUAUGUGAUUAUAAUUUAUAAUGAAUAAACUUUCUUAUGUGAGGAGACCGGACUAUCCCUAAGAUUAAGGAAUUAACUAGUAUAAAAACUUUCUAUCAUUUUCUAUCCUUUUUAUACUUGAUCAUUCUUGCAAACUAUUCUUGACUUAAAAAGUGUUUCAGACAAAGAAAACACAAUUUAAAGUUUUGAACCCUUUUUUAUUUUUGUAUUUUUUUCAAAAAUUUUGCAGAUUUUUUUUAUUUUUAUAGCAUCCAACGUUUAAGUAGAAAAAUAACAAAUUGAAAAACUAACAAAACACACGAGAAGCAUUAAAAAAACGUGAGCCGUUAUUAAAACAUUAUAAAGUUGAUGAUUCCCACCAAGAAUUUGAUCGCCGAGUGUGCCGUCAAAAGAAAUUCUCUCGAUUUCCAAAGGCAGAGGAAGAUAAAAUAAGGAGAUACAUGUCGGUUAGAACAGUCCAAUAAGGCAUAAGCAAUAACCAGCCGGCCAUAAGACGGACGACAUAGAGGAAUGAUACCACAUCUGGUGACCUGGAUUUGGAGAAUAAUACUAUAUAUAUAUAUAUAUAUAUAUAUUAAAUUAAAUUUUUACAAUCUGUUUUGACCAACAACAAAAAAAAAUUACAAUCUGGAAUCACGUUAAACCAAACAUAUAUUAUCAGAACUGCAUAAAUUCUUACUAUAAUUUGGAUCACAAUUAUACAUAAAUCCUAUACCACAUAUAUUUUAAUUUAAAGAGUAUUAGCUGUAUAGAAAUUCUCUAAGAGCAUUACUGUUGGCAAUUUUGAACGUUUUGCCUUAGAAAUUUUAAUUCGAAAACAGUUUCUUAAAUUUGAAAUUAUAUUUGUAGAAACUUUGACCCAGUGGAUCAACAAACAAAAUUCUUAUGGACUGAGUUCUCACUUCUCAAAGAAUUCUGUAAGGGAAGGUUGUGCUACUAUCUCAAUUUCAUUAAAUUUCGUGGCCAUUCACAUUCUUUCUCAAAAACUGGUGAUUGUUCAACAAAAUGCUAUAAUUCCAAUGAUCAAUAAAGAAAUAAAGAAGAAUAAAAAAUGCUAACAAGAUAUUGGAUGAAUGAAUUACUACAAACAACCUUGACAAAAAGAUAAAAAAGAACUGUAGCUAAAUUCAACAUGAACCUUCACAAUCUACAGCUUCUUCAAUCUCUUGACCAAGUUGUGGUAAAGAUUGAAGUCAAGGCUCUGAGCUCUAUAUAUACACGUGGCAAUUAAACAAUCCAUUCCCUGAAAUUGUAUAAAUAGUGACAUUAUUUCAGAUGUAUGCUAGCUAUAGCCAAAUUCAUAUCUGAAUUUCAGAGUUUCCAGGAGGACUUGAGUUAUCAUGGACCUUGCGUCUGGGAUGACUUGCACAAGUUUUUCUUAAUGAAACCAUGAUGUUUAAAUUUAAUCCAACAAAAAUGCUACUCAUUUUUACCAAAACAAUAAAAUUUACCGAGUUUAGAUAGAGAAAAGAAGAGUGUAGAGAAAUUACCAGAGCAAAAAAAUUGUGUUCAUCUGUCAUGGUGAUUAGUGAGAUAUAUUAGUGCUCAAUCAUUUUUUCAAAAAUAAUUUCUGGCAAACAAGUAGACGCUGGUCACUGCCAUUCUGAAGAUCAAUUAUCCUUGCUUCCCAACGUACUUGAGUUGCAAGCGUGCGAGCCAUCUCAAUUGUUCCCACUGUAUCAGAAAGAAUGACCCAUCCCUACAAAAAUAGUGACGUGUAUUAAGAAAAAUUAAGCUACAUAGACCUUUCCAUUACACUGAGACUGACAACUAUUUGUAUUCAAAAACACAAAUCCAAUAUUACAUUUCAUACGGAAUUCACAACAAUAAAUGAGCAUGCUUCAUUAGAGUCAACUGGCUUAUAAACAAUCAUCUGCCAAGAUGAGAUCAUCCUUUCUGGAGGUUUUGCCCAAAAAAUGGUCAGAAAGGAAGAGGGUGGAAAGUACCAGAUUACUGUUCCUUUACACUUAAAAUAACAAUGACGAAACUUUCCAGCACAAUCAUGAAAAGGAAUAUAAACACCAAGAUCAUACCUCUGGCCGUAGUAUCCUAUCCAUCUCCAAGAAUAAGUCUAUCAUGCUGCACCGUUCUGAAAUGAACUGUGACAAAAGUCCAUUUGCGUGAAGGAGAUCAUAUGUUCGUGGGUAGGUGGGGAAAGGUUCACACCUGAAGAUCAACAUCAUUAGUUAGAAAGAAAACAAUUAUCUGGAAGUUCAUAUGCAUUAACAGUAUUUUACAAAAAGCUUUGCAACAAACUCGACGAAUUUUGAUCCAACAAAUCAGGUGCAUGCUACAUUAACCUUAAAAUUUAUUCUCAAAAGGAAAACAAUUUUAAAAAAUAAACUGAAUAUUUGGUACUGAAAUUUCAGCACCAUAUAUGCAGUAUGUUAAAGGAAAUUAUCGGCAUAUUUAUGAAACUUGUAGUAUGUUUGUUAAUGGAAACUAUUUGCAUAUUUAUGAAUCUUACGAAUCUUGCAUUAAAUAUCAAAAUAUAAUUUACUAAAUAAAUAAGAAGUUUCCAGGGAAUUAUUUUGUACAUAUGGUACAUACACCACCAAACCAUUUUCAGCAAUAAAAUAAUCAUGAACAUCAUCAUAUCUUUUUUAGUAAAUUAUCUAAAACUAUUUUUAAUUUUCCAACUAGUAUAAACUACAAUUCUGUUAUUUGUCAUAAGCAUUUCCAUUGAUAGUGCACGAGAAAUACAUUUAUCAGGCUUUCGUGGUAUUGUCUGUUUAUCACCCUCAACCAAAAACAGUCUUACUCCAGUCAGUUUUUAAAUUAUAAGAAACUUUGUCUAGAUCAAACACAACUUGUCUAGAUCAUGAACAAAUAGCAACAUACCAGUCAUGCAUAACACCAGCAAAACCUCUCUCUAGUAUGAGAGGAAGUGCAUUAGAAGCCCUGGCAGGAACAACAUUCAUGACCCACACUGAUUUUUUCUCCUCCAGCAGUGCAGCAUUCAAACCCCCAUAAUUAGAACUCAUGUCCAUAACAUUGCGGAUCAUGUUAUAUGGAGGCAGUGGAUCUUCAUCUCCAGGUCUCUUUGGAUGGUCAGAGAAAAUUAACGGUGUAAGCAGGGACCAGUAAUUAUCGACAGCUGACCUCCAAAAAUGCAUGUCUUCAUAAAACUCGUCAGGCUGAACUCCUGCAAUAAUAAAGGGAAAUUAAUGAAAAGGAAAAGCAAAUCAAAACGGGAAAAAAAUUUCGCAGAAGGAAGAGGAUGUAAGCUGAAUGCUUCUAAGAAAUAAUACUUUCCAUGAAUUUCAAGCUCAGCUGAACUAAAUUCAGAAUCAAAGGAUUUGUUCUGUAUGGCAAUCCAGCGCUUGCUAGAUGUACCACUAAUACAUGGUACAAGAGGCUUGUAGUAUGAUUGAGUAUCAUCCGCUUCUUUACAUAGUUGAAUAGCAUGCUGCUUGCUAGAAUGAAGAAACAAAAGCUAAAGUUAUAUUAUCGUAGUAACUAGCAAGUGAUCAACGGAGAAAGACAAUAUCAUAACUAGCAGCAGUCUUGUUCAAAAAAUAUAUAUAUCACCUACACUAAUUCAAAUAUCCUUACCGAGAUGCAUAACAAUCAAGGUCAGCAGUCUUCUGCCAGAUGAAAGUCUCAUCUUGCUGAGCUAGGAGCGUCCAACAGAGUUGCUGAGUCAGCUCUUCCAUCGGGUUCAACGUGAUUCUCUUUUUCUCCCUUGAUGAACCUGGUAGCUUGCUUGUAGGUGAUGUUAAAACAAAAUAUCCUCCAGGUUUAAGAACACGGUCAACUUCUAUGAGGAACAUUCCAUCUGUAGGAUGAGGUCAAUAUUAGAGAUCAAAGGAUACCAUUUCAUACAGAAGCUAAACAAUACUCAGUAUGUUAUGAAAAGUCGUGGAAGGAUAGAAAAAGCAAAUGGAAAUGAUAUACAAAGAAUGGAAGAAAAACAAGAAAAUGGGACAACAUCCAAAUAUAAACGAUAUGAAAAGCCAUCCAUUUAAUUGUUGAAAAACAAAUUAAUUAAAAAAGAACACCUUUGAUUUGAUAAAUCGAAAUAUAUUUAGGUUCUAUGAGCAAGAUAUUAAUAGAUACAUAGACUACUGGGCAUAAACUAUCAAAAUCAAACCAGGAAGUGACUUAGAUUUGGACUUAAAUCAUAUACAUUCCAUUCUAGGACAUACAUACCCAAGAUAUUAAAUCAGCUUAUAAAAGAUGAAUUAACAUAAAAUACAUAGAGGCUAUGGAGAUGCUAGGAAAAGCCAAAUGGUAUGCAAUUCGAGAGUAUCUGAUAACAUGGUUCCACAGUUCCACUGUCCCAAAGCUUUGGUAAUUAGGAGGUAGCCAACAAAAGUUCAAUAUUAUUUGCAUGUCUCUUCAUGGAACCAUAAAUAAGGUGGGUGACAAGUAUGGUGCUUCUGGAUAUUUGAUUAUAGAUAUUCUUAAAAGGAUCAACAUGUCAAGUAUCGAUUAUCUCAUAAACUUGAGUUGUUGGAUGAAGGUCAAGAAUGGUUUUAUAUCUCUAACACACAGGAGGAUCACCACACAUUUGUUUCAUUUCAAGGGUUAGUUAUACCUCAAUCACUGAUUUGACAAGUAGCCUAAUCAUGCUAAUUUUGGUUUCACAGUCUAUAACACCAAUUAUUGCACGCCCAACUCAGUUUUCUCUCUUAUUUGUUAACGAAAUACAACUUUCGACAAAAACUGUGACUUGAAUUUAAAAUAUAUGACAUAUGAAUCUCUACCUAAGAGAUUAUAUUGAUAAAGAAGUUUGAACUUUAUGAAGUCUAUAAGGAAAUCCAUUAAGCUAAGAAUAAAAAAGUAAUGCUCAUAGCUAUAAAAUUACCCUUUUCAUCCCAAAUGAUGCCACAUUGAGCACAGUGAAUCAUGUCAUAUGAUAAUGAUGGAUAUGGAAGCUGUCUUGCAAUGAAGUUGCCAAUCAUAGCAGGAAGACCUCUCUCAAGAGCCAAUUGAACUUGGCUGCCAGUUGCCUCAUAUGCCGCAACACAAACCGCCAUUAUUUUAAGUGACAACAAAUGAGCUCCAAAGCUACCAAAUCCACAAUUAAUGUCCAGUAUAGUUCGAACCUGUUAUAUUAUGAGCAAAAUAGAUCAGUAACAUAUAUUAUGCAACAAAAGACCAGACCUUAGUGAAAAUCAAGAAGAGAUAUAUGGGAAGCUGAAUAGCAUAAUCUUCCUUACUGUACCAUGCACGAACUUUGUCCCUGUAAAACACUACACGGUUCCCCGAAAAAAACAACAAUUGUUGGAUUAUGGUUAAUGGAUGACUUACACCAGCUUGAGGAAGUUCAGUAUCACUUCCUAGCCCUAUCAUCUCUGCAAUUUGGCGAGAGUAGUCUUUCACCCCAUCAAAGAUCAAACCAUCCUCUGAGUGAAAGGCAAUUUGAUUCUCUUCUAGUAGCAUCAACCUAGAGAAACCACAGCACAACAUUUAUUUAUAGAAAGUAAAGGAAAAAAAGAAGAAAAAAACUUUAUGAAUCAAUCACAGCCCUGAUAAAAGUUAAGUUACUUUCAUUCAAGCAAUCUAUCAUUCAAAAUUAACAAACAAUCAUUCAAUCAAUCAGUAGUUACAAGGGUUUCAAAAUUCAAAUAGUGGUAAAAAAUAAAACACAACUGAAAAGAUUUUUUUUUAUCCAAAGGAAGUACCUUUUGGUCAUACUUCCAGAUGAAAGAAAUUGAUCUUUGGUUAUCUUCACAUUCCCACUCCAUAUAAUAUCUCUGCCACUGGGCCAACGCAAUGGAAUUUUGUAUUCCUUUGGAGGACGAACCAAACACCGGUCUUCUUCCGUCAACAAUUUGCAGUGCCGAUCCAGCUCCUCACCCUGUUCAAAUCCAGACAACAAAUUUGCAGUCACAUUGUGGCAUGGCACGUAAUUUUCCCUUUCUUUUCCACAAAGUCCUAAUUCCUUUUGCCUUGAACCACCACUGGAAACAGAUUUCAGCUCCAAAUAAUCAACCGCUACACGCUCCUUUAUCCUCCUGUAGUUUGUGUAGAUGAGAGAAGCCGGUCUCCGAGGCGAGGAAUCAAUUGCAUUGGAAGAUGAAGAACCAAACAAUGUAAUCAGAGCCAGAACAGUAAUCACAGUCAAUAUUAACCAGUUUAAUUUUGGUUUAGGGCCGAAAAUCAUCCACAAUUUAUUCAACAAAGAGCUUCUCAUGUCCAAAAUCGUAAAUCCGUCACGUACAGAGAAAGAGANNNNNNNNNNNNNNNNNNNNNNNNNNNACUAAAUCGUAAACGUAAACACCUUUAACCCUGGUUUUCCAACCAUAACCUAUCGUAAUACCAUGAAUCUUAGCCACAAGUACAGCAAGCAUUGAAACAAUAGGCUGAUCUGAAAAAGGAAAAACCGCGCAACGCCGAUCGAACGAAUGAGGAAACAAUCGAUGAAUCAGAUCGGAGAGUGAAUUGAAAAUGGAAAACGAAUCCGAUCGAAGAAGUUAGGAGAGGAAAAUGGAGAAUUAGGGUUUUUGGUUGAAGAAGAGAGUGAGAUUGAUGAUUUAGAAAGCAAAUUGUGAAUGGUGAAGAAGAGCGCUAAUUGCGGUUGGGUCCAAACUGUUUGGAUUCUUGUUACUAAACUUUACUACUUCUCUUCGUAAUUUUUAUCAAUUUCCUUAUAUACUACUACUUCCGUUUCAUUUAUUAAACAGAUCCAAAAAUACAGACCAUAAUUUACUUUUUAAACAAACAAUUUCUUUAAAUGGAAUUCUUGGAUUUCUUUAGUAAUGACGAGUUUGGAUAAUAAAUUAUAAGUUAUGAGUUCGAUUCACAACUUAUUGUGAAAAAAAUUAUGCAAAGUGGUGGGAUUAAACUUGAGAAUCGUUUGUAGCUAGAAUUGAUUUACUUGAAGCUAGAAAUUGUAGUUUCUGAUUCUAGAAUUGAUUUUUACACUUAAAUUCUUUCUUCAACCCACUUUUAUAUGAAUAUAUUCAAACAUAAAUCAAUUAUGUCAAACUCAAUUCUGUCAAACUCAAUUCUGUUAAAAUCAAUUCAGUCUACCGCAAAACCAAACACAUACUGUGAAGAAGAAUAUUUAUAUAUAUAGUAGUAACAAAUAUUGAUUUUAUAUGGUCUUGGGCUUAAGCGCUUUGUAUUUCAGAAAAAUAAAUAUUUAUAUAUAUAGUAGUAACAAAUAUUGAUCACUUUAUUCUUUUAAGCUUAUUUCAGUAGGUGUGAACGUCAAAUUAUAUGAGCGGUGUUCGAACUUCAAACACUAUACUUAUUUACUUUUAAGGAUGAAAUUUUUAGUCAUUAUAUAUAUUUCGUGACAAAAAAAUAUUGAUAACUUUUUUUAGUCACGAUUACACAAAAAAAAUAUAUUAUAUUAAAAAUACAUAGACUAUUUUAUUAUUUUCUCAUUCUACCUUUUAUUAAACAUAUAUGUGUUACUAAAUAAAUAUAAUAACUAAAUUUUAAAUCCCUUUAACUUUNNNNNNNNNNNNNNNNNNNNNNNNNNNNNNNNNNNNNNNNNNNNNNNNNNNNNNNNNNNNNNNNNNNNNNNNNNNNNNNNNNNNNNNNNNNNNNNNNNNNNNNNNNNNNNNNNNNNNNNNNNNNNNNNNNNNNNNNNNNNNNNNNNNNNNNNNNNNNNNNNNNNNNNNNNNNNNNNNNNNNNNNNNNNNNNNNNNNNNNNNNNNNNNNNNNNNNNNNNNNNNNNNNNNNNNNNNNNNNNNNNNNNNNNNNNNNNNNNNNNNNNNNNNNNNNNNNNNNNNNNNNNNNNNNNNNNNNNNNNNNNNNNNNNNNNNNNNNNNNNNNNNNNNNNNNNNNNNNNNNNNNNNNNNNNNNNNNNNNNNNNNNNNNNNNNNNNNNNNNNNNNNNNNNNNNNNNNNNNNNNNNNNNNNNNNNNNNNNNNNNNNNNNNNNNNNNNNNNNNNNNNNNNNNNNNNNNNNNNNNNNNNNNNNNNNNNNNNNNNAAUUAAAAAGUGUCGGGGGCACUCGUUCAUUAGCAUUUACCAAUAAAAUAUUACAAGUAGGCUUUCUUAAUUUAAAAUGUAAUCUAAAAUUAGUAGCCUAGUUCAUAAAAAUAAAAAUAAAAAUAAAAAUAAAAAUUAGUGGCAUUGCAUUCGUGUUGACAACUUACUUACACAUCGUGUUGCAGGCAUAGUAUCUUUUUUUUAGUAAGUUUGUUUAUACUUAUAAUAGUAAGUUGUACUACAGCUCAAAAAACAAACAUAUGCGCUGCACCUGCACGUCCAGCUAGCAGAUAUGAUUUCGUAGCAUUCAAAAAGUUCCCAAACGAAACAAACAUCCAUUGGACCUAAAUAUUCUAGAUUUCAUGCAAGAUCGUAUAAAUUCAGAAUGUUUUAUUGGAAAAUACUAUCUUUUAUAGUUAGACAAAAAUUAAUAUUUAAAAAAUAUAAUGUGUUAAGAUAAUAAGUUGUUAGGCUUUAUAUUAUUGGGCCCGUUAGGCUUAUAGUCCACUAGGUUUUGCUAUAUAAUCUCUUGUAACUCUAUUUUAUUAAGCAAAUGCAAUUCUAAUAUUAUGUAACCGUAGUUGUCUCCUUUGUUAUUCCCCUAGUUUGUAUCUUUGAUUCUAACAUGAUAUCGAGAGCUUGUUUCGAUCCUCCUUAGAUUGUGUAUUGUUAUCCGCUGCCGAGUUCCCAAUAGUUUGGGAAUGUGAUUAUUCUAUUGAGGUUGUGUUGCUGCGUUUUGAGUUCUCUUGGUUAAUUUCUAGGUUGGUCAAAAUUGGUUUCUAUUGAUGGUUUCUAUUGAAUCAAAUGAAUUUGGUUCGGCGGAGUGGAGAUAAUUUUCGUCUGCAAGGAAUCAACCUUUUAUGGCUUAUUGGAGAUUUAUAGGUACCGUCACUAAUAUCAAAUUUGGAAUUGGCAGUGCAAGGUACUUUGGUUAUUGGAAUAUCUCUAUUAGGCACAUGAUGUUCUACGGGUUGAAAGUGGCUUUUUGAUGGUGUCAUACAUUUGUAUUUGUCUUCCAUUUCCUUUGAAUUAGUUGAUUUUUGCUUUGAUUGUUGAGAAAAUUUAUUGAGUCGUCAUCAUCCAUAAUGUCUAGUGUCCUUUUAUGGUACUGUCUAUUGGUUCCUAUGUGUGAUUUAUGUUGGGUUUGUUUGUUUUCUUAGAGGAAAUGACACCGUGUGGGUGUUUGAGUUAGUAAAAAAAAAACAAAAAUUGGUUUGUUGGUUUGUUUGUCUUGAUUUGAUUUCUUUCAGUUCCACUUGAAUUGGUUUCGUUUCCAUAUGUUUCAAUUCGGUUAUUUGGUGAGUCAAAGUGCUCACAAUUUGAUUAUUUGGUGAGUUGAGUGCUCACAAUUUGAUUUCUUUUGAUUGAUUGUUGGUCUCUCUUGUUUGAUUGUUUCUCUUCCCCUUUUUUGAUUCUUCUUUGUUUGAUUGUUUCUCUCUUAUUAACUUCUUUUGUCUGAUUACUUCCCUCUAUUGGUUCUAUUUGAUUGAGCUUAUCUCCCUAUUGGUUUCUCCUUAUUAGUUCUUUUGUUUGAUUGCACUUCUCUCUUCUAAUUGAUUACAUUGCACUUCUCUCUGUCAAUUCUUCUGUUUGAUUGCUUCUCUCUAAUGAUUUCUUCCGUCUGAUUGUUUCUUUCUAAUGAUUUCGCUUCUCAUUGAUGAUGGUUUUGUCUGGAUCCUGUCUUAUUGCUUCUCCCUGCUGAUUUUCUUAUGUCUGAUUGCUUCUGAUGAAUUCCCUUCUCUUCUGUUGGAUUGCUCCCCUCUGUCUGUUCUUCUAUUUUAGUUGCUUCUCCUUCUAUUGACUGAUUCUUCUGUUUGGUGAUUUAGUUCACUUUGGAUUGGAACAAUUUGGUUUGGUAAAGUUUGGAUUUGUCGGAUUGGUUUGGAUUUGGUUAGCUUGGACUGAAUUGGAUGAAAUGGAUGUUAGCUUGGUUUGAUUUGAUUCUCCUCUCUAUCUCUGCAGGUUCCUCUUUUGGUACUAUUUGUGGCUCUUGGUUAUGAUAUUAGUUGAUUUAGUUUAAUUUUAUGGGUUAAUUUUGUAACAAGUUUAAAAGCUUAGUAAACUUUAGCUUGAGGGAUAAUAUUAAGAUAAAAUGUUGAGUUUAUAUUAUUAAGUAUGUUUUGUUUGACAAACUCUCGAUGCUUUUUGUUGUUGCAUCGUGAGUUUGAGGGUAAGUGUUAAGAUAAUAAGUUGUUAGGCUUUAUAUUAUUGGGCCCGUUAGGCUUAUAGUCCACUAGGUUUUGCUAUAUAAUCUCUUGUAACUCUAUUUUAUUAAGCAAAUGCAAUUCUAAUAUUAUGUAACCCUAGUUGUCUCCUUUGUUAUUCCCCUAGUUUGUAUCUUUGAUUCUAACAUAAUGCACAAAUUUCAAACAAAUAUUAUUACAUUUCCAUUCUUAACUUUUAGAGCAUAUGUUAAAUUGUCCUUAAGAUAAUUUAUUUUUGAAAAAUACUGACUAGUGUUUUUAGGAUAGUAUUAAAUAUACUAAAUAGGUCUUAAAACUUUUUUCUUUUUUAAUCAUCAGUAUCCGGCCAGCUAGACGGUCUAAUCGGUUCGAAUGUCAAUUUUGACAUCAAAUGGUUCCGACCUCCUCCCGAUCGUAGUAUAUUGUUUUUGGUACAUACUAUUAUAUUUUAUUUUUUCUUUGACAUGAAUGCUAUUAGAUAUGGACUAAUGCUACGGUGGACCACCUUUACAAGUGGUCCAUCGUGGAUAAGUGAUAUACCAAUACGACUUUUAUAAAAUUUACUGUUAGAUUGAAAAUUUAUAUCAUAUAGAUUAUCUAUAAAAAAUUCUUAGAAAAAUUAUAAAUGAUUUGAUAUGUUACUGAGACAUUGUGUCGUGACAUUUAACAUUAUCCUUAUCCUUUUUAUAAACAAAAAUAAUAAGAAAUUUUUUAUAUAUAUAAUCCUUCCACAGAGUACUUCUUAUAUUACCUUUUUUCUUAAUAUUCUUAUAUUACCUUCAUGAUUUUAUUAAAAUUUCAAUAUGGAUUAAUUCAAUGUUUUCUUAUUAUUGUUUUUAAGAGAGAACAACUCAACUCAUAUUCAGUGUUUUUUUAUUAUUUAUUUUUUAAAACUAAAUGUAUCAUCCGUGCGCAACUGUAAAGACUAAUUCCCUCGAGGUAACUGAGAUCCAUUUAAGAUGUUGAUCUCUCCUAACAAAUGCUUCUUCAUACGCACCGAUCAGGGAUCGAACCCAAGACCAAAUGGUUAAGAAGCCCAAGUAUUUUUGCCACACUAUAUUGGUCGGUAUGGUUUCUAAUAAAAAUGUGUUAAAUUGAAUUUAUGAUUAUCGGACGUUGUAUUACGCAUGGAGAAAAUGAGUUGUAACAAACAAAAUUCUUUCAUUUUCUUCUAAGCUCAAAAUAUAGAGAACUCUCGAUACAAGAAAAUGUAUAACAACCUGAGAAUAGAAAAUGAAAAGAAAAAACAUCCCUUGUUUAACAUUGAGUUCGACACUUGUGGUGUGACCAGCCCAACAUCUUUGUUUGAAGCAAAGCUUUCCUCGUUAGUUUGCUUUGGUUUGGCUUGUUUCGGGGGAGAGGUGAGCCGUUUAUGCUGUAUGGAAAAAGGAGCUCUCGUACUGUGCCAAACCUAACGAGGCCAAACAAGAAAAUGUAUAACAACCUUAAGAAUAGCAAAUGAAAAGAAAAAACACCCUUGUUUAAUAUUGAGUUCGACACUUGUGGUUCCUCUUCGAUAAUCGGUUCCAAUUUGAAGGAAUUUGUGGAUGGAUCUCAUCUCUCUUGCCAUUUGAAAAAUAAAAUGCAAGCAAUCCGUUGUUGUUUUCGAUGAAGAAAAUUAUUGUAUUGAAUAUUUAUUUGAAGCAAAUGAUUGAAUACAAUAGAGAUGAAAAGAGUUAAAAUAAAUAUGUUUUGAGCCCGUAAAAAGAGGACAAAACAUGGAAUGUCCAACUAUGAUAUAAUAUGGAUAUGAUAUUUUCUCUUUAGGCCCCCCACGUUUCUUUUAUACCCCCCUUACUUACGUUUUUGCCCCUNNNNNNNNNNNNNNNNNNNNNNNNNNNNNNNNNNNNNNNNNNNNNNNNNNNNNNNNNNNNNNNNNNNNNNNNNNNNNNNNNNNNNNNNNNNNNNNUGAAAAGAGUUAAAAUAAAUAUGUUUUGAGCCCGUAAAAAGAGGACAAAACAUGGAAUGUCCAACUAUGAUAUAAUAUGGAUAUUGCUUCAAUCCAAACAGCAAAGGAUUUAGGCAGAAUAUGUUUUCUAACUAAAUAUCGGUAACAAUUCUUUUUUCGUUACAAAUUCGGUGACGAUGCUUCUAUUUUUAGAAGGAAUUAUGUUUGCACUAUAGAGAUGGUAUUCUUAGGGUUGGGGACCGGCCAGGCCAAGCUUUGACAGGCCUGAGUCUGACAAACGAUUUUUCUUCGAGCCUAAGUCUGGUCUACGGCCUAUCAAAUGUUAUUUUUUUUGGCCUGAUCUGAGCCUUUUUUUAUAGCCCGGCCUUGUAGCCUAUUUAAAAGUCUGUGUUACAUAAAGACCUCUAUAUAGUCUUUUUAAAUACAGGCCUUAAAGCCUAUUUCACAUUUAAAUUUUUAUAAUUUCUACAACAUUAAGAAAAAGCUAAUAAAAUGAUGGGGAAAUAGUCAUUUUCGUCCUUCAUUGUGCAACUUGCUAUCAAUCUGGUCCCUCAGUGAAGAAAAACUAAAAUAUAGUCCCUCAAUGUGCACUCCGUUAGUCAGUUUAGUCCCCGGCGUUACAUUUGGCCGUUAACUCAACAAAAAAGCUGAUGUGGCAUUUUUUUGGGCACACACCAGCUUGUUGAGUUAGCAAUAGUUUUACAAGUGGCUGAUGAUUUGGCAAAGGACGAAAAUGAUAGUAGAUACCAAAUUUUCCCAAUUUAAAUCCUUAAAUCCCAAACCACAUUGUUCCUUUUUCUUCUCUGUUGCUGCUGUUCUUCAUCUUCUUCCAUGUUUAUUGUUUUUGUUCUUCAAUUUGUUGUUGCCUUCCAUUAAUAGAGAGAAUCGAUCUACAUGAUGGGGGUGAUGUAAAUUCGUCACAACGUAGCAACACACCUUCUUCGCGAGCUGCAUUUCCUUCUUCCAUUAAGAUUUUUUAUGGUUGUGGUCGAAUUGCAGUUCAACGUGUUGCACAAACCCAGGCGAAUAUGGGUAGGGCAUUCUUCACAUGUGCAAUUAACAAGUUAAUUUUUACUUCUAUUCUUCACAUGUGUCAUUUUUAAUUCUUCAUAAUUCCAGGUUAAGGUGAUUUGGGUUUAUAAAAUUGAGAACAAAAACAAACUUCAUUGCUGGAUGAUUAUGGUUGUUGUGGAUACUUUGUAUGGGUUGACAAUUUGAUUGAAUGUCAUACAAAUUCAAGUGAUGAAGGAAUUGAAUCACUUGGCUUGCAUCAUGGAAGAGAGAUUGGGCGACAACAAGCAAUGGGUGGACAACUUUGGUCCCUUAUUGCCAACUCAACAAGCUGAUGUGUGCCCAAAAACUAACACAUCAGCUUUUUUGUUCAAUUAAUGGCCAAAUGUAACGCCAAAGACUAAAUUGACUAAUGGAAUGCACAUUGAGGGAUUAUAUUUUAGAUUUUCCUUAGUGAGGGACCAGAUUGACAGCGAAUUGCACAAUGAGGGACAAAAAUGACUAUUUCCCCUAAAAUGAUUAACACAAUAAUUAAAAGCUAAUAAAAUAACCUUAUACACUAUAACUUAUAAGUUAGCAAAACACUAGAUCAUCAAAUCCAGAUUCUUCAAGUGUAAGCAAAACAAAUCUAAAACCCAAGGUAUAAAGUCUAAUUUCUAAUUUCAUUUGUGAAUUGUGCUGUAAAAUAUUUUGUCUAAAUAAUAUAUUUUUUCUUUGUAAAAAAAAAAAUAUAUAUUUUCUCUAAUGUUUUGUAUUAUAUAAAUAAUAUUUUUUUACAAGAUAUAAAUAAUAAUAUUAUAUAAAUAUAAAUAUAAAUAAUAAUUAUUAAAUAUAAACAAGCCGGCUUAUCAGACUUUGUUAGCUUUUUUAGAAGUCUGAGUCUGACCUAUUUAUGUAAAUAGAUAGGAUCAUUUUAAAGCCUAAGCCUGACAUUUUUAAUAAACAGGUCAGGCCAGGCUUCAACAGGCCAGUCCGAAGGCCCCUGUAGGCCAGACGGCCUAUUCCCAACCCUAAUUAUUAUAGUUAUAUAUUCUUUUAGGCUUAAUUUUAGUUUUGAUCCUCUAUUUUUAUCAUUUUAUAGAAUUGGUCUCUCUAUUUUAAAAUUUGACAAUUUUGACCUAUCUUAAAUAUUUUGUCUAAAGGAAUUAAGUUUAUAAAGAAAUUUUCAUACGACUUCAUCAAUGUUAAUAUUUUCCCAUCAUCUGAUCAUAUACCACAUCAUUUAAAAUAUAUUACAUCGACAAUUUAUAGUUAAAAAAUAUGAUGGAAGGACUGAAAAUAUUAUAAUUUCUUUGCAUUUAUUUUUCUCUAUUAUAUGGUACCAAAGUUCGACUCAAGUAUUUUUCUCUUUCUCAUCAAUAUCAUUUAUAAAUUAACAAAUUUUGUUUUUUUCUCUAUUAAAAAAAAUUAUAUGUUUUCAUCCCAAAAACUUUCUUGUUUUGUUUUAGUUCUAAUGGACAAAAUUUUGAAAGAAAAAAAAAACAAAAUUUUGAUUUGUUUUUUUUAUAAUUUUUGAACAUGAUAUGACUUAUAUAGGUUUAACGUAAUAUAUAGAUGUAAAUUUAUAGACACAUCUUAGAACAUAAAAUAGAAUUGGUUAUUAGAGACGAAAAAUAAAGUAAGAAUUUUUUUAGGAUGAAAACAUGUGAUUUUUUUUUAGGAACGAAAAAUACAUUUAACCCUAAGCAUUUUAAGGUAGAAAACAUGUAAUAUUGGUGUAUUGGGAAGAAAAAUAUAUGGAGCACAGAAACAAAAAUCACACAGCAUAUAGGUAUACUUCAUUUAUCAAAUUCUGAAAAAUUUAUAUUAUUUUCCCAUUUGACAACAUACUUUAACAUUGAGAACGAUUGCUUGUGGAAUCACUAAAUCUUUUACAUUACAAAAUGAUCAACAUGCUCGAGCACCAAUAUGCAGAUGUGAAUUCUUAGGUAUCAUUUGACCUAACUUUUUUUUCUAUUCUUUUUCCUUAAAAGUAAGCUAGGUUAAACAACAAUUUUUAAAAGCUCUACUAAAAAAACAGCUAUAUUUUUUAAAAAAAUUAUAAUAUAUUAUAAAACAUAUCUUUUAACCUUACUAUAAUAAAAUAAAAAACAACUUUUAACCAACCUUUUUAUAUAUAAAAAAUAAAUAAAUAAGAUUUACCAAGUAACUUUAAUUUUAGUUUUAAAACUAUUAUUUCUAGUUUUAUAAUUAAAAGAGUUUCACACCUAAAAAAAAUUGGGUCAACGGUACCUGCAUUUUCUAAGUAUAAAUUUGCAUGUAAUAAUAUAAUUAAACAAACAGCAAGGAAUAAUAAUAUAAUAAAACAAACAAGGAAUAUAACAACAAAAUCUUUAAACAAAAAUGAUAUAUAACUGGCCAAUUCCAAAACAAUCAUACCAGAAAAAUUAGAUACAGUAGGAAACAAAAUUGGAAGAGAUUAAGAAAAAAGAAGUCAGUAUGGAGAAAACCUGAUUUAACCAAAGAACUCUGACGAAAAAAUAUCACAGAAACUACAAAGCAAAAGACUCUAAUUCAAAUUCAAACCAAAAUCCCUAAUGCCUCCCUCUAUCUACUAAGAAAAUCUCGUUGCCACUCAAUUACCGACAAAAAGAAGCACUUUACUGAGCCUUCACUGGCGGUUGACGAGCGACUUUUCCUCCUCCAUUCUGAUAACUCCUUGGUGCAGCAUCUCCAUUGCUUCGACCGGUAUUAUUGCCUCCUCUAGGCCGGCCAGAGAACUCGCCUCGCCUGUCAAAAUCAUUCCUUCCGUUAAAGCCACCACCACGGCCACCACCAAAGUUGCCACGGCCCCUGAAGUUAUCAUUUCUGUCAUUUCGGUAUCCACCACGUCCUGCAGAAUACAGACACAAUCACUCUAUUAGCUGCAACAAACAAUGUACAAGUAANNNNNNNNNNNNNNNNNNNNNNNNNNNNNNNNNNNNNNNNNNNNNNNNNNNNNNNNNNNNNNNNNNNNNNNNNNUCACACAGGAACACAAUUGUACAGCAAGAUCAACAAAAUAGACUUAAAAGGUUCAAAUUUAACAAGAGAAAUAAAUAUGGCACACUUGCCUCGCCUUUCUUCAAUGGAAAGCCUACGGUUGUCCAACAUAACAGGAGGGGAGGCCUGAAAUAAAACAUACAAUUUUUCAGAUGAAGCUAGCAGAAGGCUUCGUACACUUCUCACUUAUUGAAAAAAUAAGUUAAACAUUGAAACAUUUAAUAACAAAAUGCAAGAAAUGUCCCCUUGAUAUAUUUGGAAAAAGAAAAAAAAAACUCAAGAUUUAUAAAACCCAACCAACAUUCAAUUUAUGACCUUGCUGAUAAUGACUAUUAAUAGAAAUACUCCAUACCUCUAGGGCACUUUGCAGUGAAGCAGCAGAUUCAAAUUCCACAAAACCAAAGCAAGAUCCCUGUUGCUAAAGGAAAAAGUAUCCUAUCAGUAGCUGUAAGUCAAUGUGUGGUUAGUAAACUGGGUGUUGGAAAUGCUUAAAACAAACGAACCUUGUUACUUCUAACUUGAAUACCAUCACGUUUAAUGGUCCCGAAUUUCUUGAAAACCCGGUCCAAUUGCUCUACUGUUGCAGUCAUAGGCAAAUUCGCAACAAAUAUUGCAUGAGCCCUACCUGAGGAAAGAAUAAUUACAGAAGUUAUGACAGAACAUACCAUUUGAAUGAGACUCUUUAUACCGAAUUAUAUAAAUACUUAACCAUAGAGUCAUAAAAAGAGUAACAAUAAAAUUACCUCCAUUCUCAAUAUUCUUUUCCGAUGGAAUGUCCAUGUUAGGGGCUGGUGCUUCAGGAGCAGGCACGCUAUGUACACGGGGUGGUUGCACAGCGGGUUUUGCAGGAGAAGUCCUCGAAAGGAAGGGAGCAGAAUUAUCUUUAUAGGCACUCACCUGGAACAAAUAAUUGCAGAAAAUUUAUUGUAGGAUAACUAAAAAAUAAAGAUGCAAGUAAAUAAAUUAAUUAAUAAACAAAACUCACAAUGGAUGCAAAAGAUUUUUUGGGAGUAUCCUCCUGUGUAUUUGAAGGAACUUUCUCAAUGCUUGCCAUUUGUUCCUGAUGACUUGACUCUUUAACAUGAUUAACAGGAAUCACAUUUUCAGUAACUGAUAAUUUUCCAUUCUCCAGUGGUAAGCUCACUUCUUUGCUGAUGUUAGUGUCAGUAUCAGCAAUAACAGGUUGAAUGGUUGGAAUGUCUUCAGCAACAUGAAUAGGCUCUACAGUCAACAAUCAAAAGCAAAACUUUAAAACCCAAACUUCCAACAAUAAAAAGACUCGUAUAGUGGAAGAAAAAGAAACUAAAAUUCAAUGGGAGGAUAUAUUUAGCAUUAAAUAGCAUAAGGAAUCAAUAUUCAAAUGCAAGUAUCUGUAGUUCAGGCAUACAGCUUGAAGAAUCCCUAAUAACUGUCGUGUUUAUAAAUAUUAAUCUUGUGUGUGAUAAACUUGAGCAAUUCUAAACAUUCUUCUGUAGAAGACUCAAACUUUCUCUAAAAAGACUUGAAAACUAUCUCAUAUUAUUUCAUGUGAUUUACCAGGAUCUGGAGUAAAAGCUUCUGAUGGAGCACUUUCAUCAGCAUCAUUUGCUGGUACAGUCUCAAUAUCAACAGACUUAUACGCAUCAACAUAUCUAAAAACAUCAUUCAAAACAUAGAAGCCCUUGUCCUGUGGAGCUAGGAAAAAGGACUGAGCAAAUUUGCGUUUAACAUUGUCAGUUCCGGUCAAGCAGCCAGUCACUACAACCACAACCCCACUAUUAUAUGAAGGCUGAGCAUCAGCACUCAGAACCUCUACCCUAUAGCUUGUGUAAUCAAAAGAUUGUAUCUUUUUAUCAAUUUCCUGCAUCAAAUUAAAGAUCAUCGAAGUCAGACAGUGGUAAAUCAUGUGUCACAAUACACCAUAAUCAUACUCAAAAGCAAUAAAAAAUAGAACACCCAAAAUAUUGCAACACAUUAAGCUCGAUCAAACAUUAACUUGAACUGUAAACAGGGGAUUGAAAAUACAGCAUUCAUUAUUAAAUCCACAAAUGCCAAUCACAAAUCAUAAUAACUUUUGAUACUUUUAUUUUGCUUUGCAGAGAACAAAAUUACUCAACAGCCAGCCAACAUGAUAUUAAGUGAUUAAGAUUUAAGAGCAUGAUACAUACUAAUAAUAAUAAUAAUAAUAAUAAUAAAAAUAAAAAUAAUACAGAGGAUAUAUUUCACAUACGAACCAGUGUUAAGGUUUGACAACAGUGUAAAUCUGGCUACAUAUGAAUGAUAUCUAAUCUACAAUUUACUACAAAGAUAUGAAGCAUAUCCUGAUGCUGAUUAGGGUGCUUUCAAUAUAACAAAUAUAACGUAAUUAGGCAUGACUCAUUUUCUCAACAAAUAACAGCACAGCUAUUUUUUCAAUCAAAGAAAUACAAUUCACUGAUUCAGCAUUAACAACUGUUAAACAUGACCUAAAUCUACACUUAGAUAAUUGAACACAUCUAAAUUAUAACUAAUGAUUAAAGUUGAUUGUUUGAACUUACAGCAGUGGUAGUGACAGUUGUCAUGGUACCGUCUUCUUCAGGUCGACUCAAGACACUUGAUUCGUGGUAAAACUUAUGAACCUGAUCCGGGUCUUGGUGAAGAAUUGAGUAAUACUGCUCGACAAAAGCAUUGCCAACCACCUGAGGGGUUGGGGUUUGGACUCCAUCAGAUACUGCCAUCUCUACAACAUAACACACAAACAUAAGUUAGUAAUUUCAAAUCCAAAUUAAAGACACUCCUAUACACGACAAAAAUCCGAUCAUCAUUAACCCUAGAAACCACCGAUCAAAUAAAUGUAAACAAUUCAUAUGACCUAACCUAUUCAACGAAUACAAAAAUCGUAACUUUUAACAAUUAAAGCGAGUAUUUUUAUAAUGUUUGAUUGAAAAGCCCUAAAUCUGAAUAACAGAAUAACAACGAAACCCUAAUAAACAAUUAGAAAUCGGCGAAAUUGAAUAAUUAAAAAAGAAAAAAACACACACGUACAUGGAGAGAGAGAGAUCGAGAUCGAGAAUGGGAGAGAAAAGUAGUACGUACCUCCUUGGUGUGAUGGAGAGAUCAAAGAGAGAAAGAGAAAUGGGGAGGGAGAGUGAGUGAGUGAGAAUGCGUGCGGCUGAUGAGUGUAAGUACAAGAGAGAGUAUAUAUAGGAUCUGUUGUGAUGAGAGAGCAAGGGCAAAAUUAUUAUUAGCAAAAUAUUUAUACUCCAUUUUUUUUGUCAAAUACUCGAUUUAAUUAUUAUAAAUAAAUAUUCCAAUUUUUUUACUUUUAGUGAGCCAAACACAACAACACAUAACAACCCGGUUUAUUGUUCACACGUGAGAAUGGGAUGGAACCAGGCCAAUGUUUUGUUUGUUUUUUUUUUUGUUUGGUUCCUUCCUCUCUCUCUCACUCACUGCGGUUAUUAUGUUUCAUGUUUCAAAUAGUAUGGCAUCCAAUUUGGAUUUAAAACCAAAAUUCAUUCAUUAGAUCAGAAAUUAAGUGGUUUCAGCUCCCUCCUGAUCACAGUUGUGGGGGAUAGAACUGUGGUUUUCCCUACCAAGUUCAGCGUCAAUCACCACCGAUCGCAGUUGCGGGAGAUCAAACUGUGGUCCUCCCUACCAAGUUCAGAUUCAAUCACCACUAAACCAACUAACGAUUGAUUAUUACUAUUUUUUAUAUUUAUAAAAUUUUAUUUCGUUUCUUAAUUAGUAAGAACAUCGCAUUUUUUGCAUUUUAUAUAUAAGAAUGGAUCGGCAAUCGCAUUUAAUUAGUUGAUGACAAUUUAUAUAAAUAUAUAGUAUGUCAUGCAAUUCGAUCGAAAAAUGUAGACUUUUUGUUUAUACCAUAAGCUUUCGAUGGUCUCCACCAAGCUAGAUGUUUUGGUGGAUUGUAGUUUACUCAGGUCUGUGUGGAUUGUGUUUAUUUGUCGGCGUUUUCUUUUAGUUUGACAAGGGUCUGGUUCGACAAUAGUGUUUUCGGUGGGAGAUGUUUCUAUUCUACUUCACUUUGGUUAUAGUGUUUCGUUCUGGUUUUAGGUUCGAAUUUGGAGUAGGACGAGAGUGAGUCAUUGUAGAAUUUUAAAUUGUGUUGUUUGGGUUUGGAGCAGUAGUUUUGGUUGAGGUAAUGGAAUGAAUUAUGAGUGAUUGUGUAACAAAUAGAAACCUACGGUCUACAAACCACUAGUAUGCCUUACUUCUACGUAUGAAGCCUUUUUUUAAAACUAAGAUCUUACAUGUCAAAUUUAUUAUAUAUAGAAGUGUUUGUGUUUAUCGUCGAGAAUAACUAGUUGUACUCUGAGGGAGUUGCACAAUACUGCAGAUAAUUCUUUAGUUUAAUGUGACAACACGUCUCCGAUUAUUAAUUUUCAGUUAUCCACAACAACAAUCUAAAAGGAAUUAUGACCGAAGACGAAUUUGACUAUGGCAAAAUAACCCGCGGUUUCCACUUCUCACGUAGUUAUACCGACACGCCGACAAUGGUCACCUACCUCAAAUGUAGGUGUGGUGAUUUUAGAUUUCCCUUACUUUGUAAGACGUAAAACUGUGGGGGUUCGCCUGCUAAUAAAGGGACCAGAGGAUAGUGAUCGACUUGUUUGUAAAAAUAUGAAAAGAUAGUAAUCAAGAGAGAGGUAGAAAAUUAGAAGAAGGAUUGAGAAAAAAGAAUAAGAGUAUCUAAUAUUUGCAAAAAUAUAUGUUUGUCCGUUAUCUAUCUAUAAUUUUAUACUAUUGUGAGAUGGGGAGAGCAAUAAGGAGUCAAAGCAUGGUAUGCCUUAAAAGUAUCUGAAUCAAUAAGGUAAACUAUCUUCUACCACAAUUUCCUUAGAUAAUUUCUCUUUCAAAAAUCACAAUAAUUCAAACGAUAAACAAUUCAACAACCCUGUUCAAUUAAAGUCUUGGAGAAGCUACAUCCUACGUAAAACCAUGUCUUCGGAAGCUCACAAUGCUCCAGGGAGCGGGGAAGAGAAGNNNNNNNNNNNNNNNNNNNNNNNNNNNNNNNNNNNNNNNNNNNNNNNNNNNNNNNNNNNNNNNNNNNNNNNNNNNNNNNNNNNNNNNNNNNNNNNNNNNNNNNNNNNNNNNNNNNNNNNNNNNNNNNNNNNNNNNNNNNNNNNNNNNNNNNNNNNNNNNNNNNNNNNNNNNNNNNNNNNNNNNNNNNNNNNNNNNNNNNNNNNNNNNNNNNNNNNNNNNNNNNNNNNNNNNNNNNNNNNNNNNNNNNNNNNNNNNNNNNNNNNNNNNNNNNNNNNNNNNNNNNNNNNNNNNNNNNNNNNNNNNNNNNNNNNNNNNNNNNNNNNNNNNNNNNNNNNNNNNNNNNNNNNNNNNNNNNNNNNNNNNNNNNNNNNNNNNNNNNNNNNNNNNNNNNNNNNNNNNNNNNNNNNNNNNNNNNNNNNNNNNNNNNNNNNNNNNNNNNNNNNNNNNNNNNNNNNNNNNNNNNNNNNNNNNNNNNNNNNNNNNNNNNNNNNNNNNNNNNNNNNNNNNNNNNNNNNNNNNNNNNNNNNNNNNNNNNNNNNNNNNNNNNNNNNNNNNNNNNNNNNNNNNNNNNNNNNNNNNNNNNNNNNNNNNNNNNNNNNNNNNNNNNNNNNNNNNNNNNNNNNNNNNNNNNNNNNNNNNNNNNNNNNNNNNNNNNNNNNNNNNNNNNNNNNNNNNNNNNNNNNNNNNNNNNNNNNNNNNNNNNNNNNNNNNNNNNNNNNNNNNNNNNNNNNNNNNNNNNNNNNNNNNNNNNNNNNNNNNNNNNNNNNNNNNNNNNNNNNNNNNNNNNNNNNNNNNNNNNNNNNNNNNNNNNNNNNNNNNNNNNNNNNNNNNNNNNNNNNNNNNNNNNNNNNNNNNNNNNNNNNNNNNNNNNNNNNNNNNNNNNNNNNNNNNNNNNNNNNNNNNNNNNNNNNNNNNNNNNNNNNNNNNNNNNNNNNNNNNNNNNNNNNNNNNNNNNNNNNNNNNNNNNNNNNNNNNNNNNNNNNNNNNNNNNNNNNNNNNNNNNNNNNNNNNNNNNNNNNNNNNNNNNNNNNNNNNNNNNNNNNNNNNNNNNNNNNNNNNNNNNNNNNNNNNNNNNNNNNNNNNNNNNNNNNNNNNNNNNNNNNNNNNNNUCACAUACAAGAAAAGCUUGUUUCAUGUGCUCAUAUAAUUCUCUUACUUUACUAUAAUUAUUUUAAAUAUUAUAUGACAUAUAAUGGAAUGAAUUAUGAGUGAUUGUGUAACAAAUAGAAACGUACGGUCUACAAACCACACUAGUAUGCCUUACUUCUACGCAUGAAGCCUUUUUUGAAAACUAAGAUCUUACAUCAUCAAAUUUAUUAUAUAUAUAGAAGUGUUUGUGUCUGAGUCAUCUAGAUAUGUUUAUCGUCGAGAAUAACUAGUUGUACUCUGAGGGAGUUACACAAUAUUGCAGAUAAUUCUUUAGUUUAAUGUGACAACACGUCUCCGAUUAUUAAUUUUCAGUCAUCCACAACAACAAUCUAAGGAAUUAUGACUGAAGACGAUUCUGACUAUGGCAAAAUAACCCGCAGUUUUCCACUUCUCACGUAGUUAUACCGACACCCCAACAAUGGUCACCUACCUCAAAUGUAGGUGUGGUGAUUUUAGAUUUCCCUUACUUUGUAAGACGUAAAACUGUGGGGGUUCGCCUGCUAAUAAAGGGACCAGAGCACAGUGAUCGACUUNNNNNNNNNNNNNNNNNNNNNNNNNNNNNNNNNNNNNNNNNNNNNNNNNNNNNNNNNNUAAUCAAGAGAGAGGUAGAAAAUUAGAAGAAGGAUUGAGAAAAAAGAAUAAGAGUAUCUAAUAUUUGCAAAAAUAUAUGUUUGUCCGUUAUCUAUAAUCUUAUACUAUUGUGAGAUGGGGAGAGCAAUAAGGAGUCAAAGCAUGGUAUGCCUUAAAAGUAUCUGAAUCAAUAAGGUAAACUAUCUUCGACCACAAUUUCCUUAGAUAAUUUCUCUUUCAAAAAUCACUAUAAUUCAAACGAUAAACAAUUCAACAACCCUGUUCAAUUAAAGUCUUGGAGAAGCUACAUCCUACGUAAAACCAUGUCUUCGGAAGCUCACAAUGCUCCAGGGAGCGGGGAANNNNNNNNNNNNNNNNNNNNNNNNNNNNNNNNNNNNNAUGGCGAGCGCAAAGAUUGUAGCAGAGGCAGCUCAGUCAGGUUUCGGGAAAGGAGCUGAUGGGAAGGAUGUAGACAAAGGGAAGGUGGCAUCUGCUGCAGGGGAUCUUCUAGACGCAGUCGGUCAAUAUGCUAAAUUAGAUGAUCAGAAGGGGUUAGGACAAUAUGUUGAUAAGGCUGCUGAUUAUCUGCAU
rnacentral:lncRNA from 1 species